rnacentral:lncRNA from 1 species
UUCGCUAGCAAAGGACUAUCAGAAAGGUUCAGGCAAUCUGCUGCCCAGGUCAUACACGAUUAUUCAUCAGGUUGGACACAAGCUAAGCUGCUUUCCUUCUGGAGAGUAAUUUGAAAAACUGUUCAAAGGCAGGGUAGAAUGAUCAUCCUUCGUGAUACACUAAACUGGAAACAAAAAACUCAGCUCGAUGCAUUUACAUGGACAGAAAUCGAAGUAUGUAACGGGUGAAGCUACCAUCAUGCCUCCAGGUCGUUCAGGUUUCUCGGAACUUUGACAAAAAGUUUUGAAACGAAGAGAAACCUUCCAUCGCAUCGUGCGGCAUGUUAAGCGUGAAAGGGGGAAGAACACUCGGACCAGCCUUCAGGUUCUUCGGGCCAGCGGCUGACGGUAGCGCAAGUGCAGGCUGCUGUCUGUUGAGCUUUUCUAUGAUGUACGAGAAAGUUCCAAAAGCCAGGCAGCUCUGAAUCAGAGUUUGCGGUGCACCUGCAACAGACAGCAGAAAAUAUGGUACUGAGGUGAUCGAUACAUAUGAAGCAGUUUAUUUAUGCUACAGGAGCAAAAAUAGAAACAUUAACUCCUGCCCCACUCCCUACAAAAAGCAAAGAGAGAAGUUGUAUUCUCAGCACAAAUGAUGAUCCAAACUAACCCCUUUGAUUAUACGAUUUUGGUUAGUAGAAUCUACAUUUCUACGAUCCUAAUAGUUAAGAUUCUACCACUGGUGAUCACUGGUGGAGCUACAGUGGAUUUCUUGGGCGGCCCAACCUGAAGAAGAAACCAUAAGAGAUGGGCCAGGCCACUUGGCAAGCUAGUUAGGCAGUUUUUCAGCUAGGCAGGGCGGGCCAGAGCACAGGUUCGCCCCAACGUAGCUCUGAUCCGAUUCAAAAUAACGAUUUUGACAACCUUGUCGAGCGACCAAGCGGAACGCUCGUUUCAGCAUCUCUCCCUCUCUCGAUCCGCGACGACGGCAAAGCACUCCCACCUCUCCCUCUCCGGCAACGGCUGUCCUAGCCUCCCCCCACUUCUGUCCUCUGAUGGCAUGCAGCAGCAGCGGGCAGCCAGGUACAAGCUGGGUGACGAUCAAGCAGCUGGACGGCGGCUGUAGCGGACAGCUUGGGCAGAGCGGAGGCAGUAGAAGGAGCAGAAGGAGCAGCAGCUCAUGGGCUGUGGCUGGUAGUUGCAGGUGGCGGCCUCACAUGCUGGGCGGCGGCCAGGCGCUGCACGUCUCGAUUUGUUGAGCGACACAACAUGAGGAAUUGGCAGGCGGUGGCUACACCACAGAAGAGCAGGCUCUGCUCCAUUGUCCACUCUCCCUUGUGCGUUUGCUAGACUAGUGAUAAUCACCUAAAUGGAAAUUGUACAUGCUUUUUCUUGCCUUUUGCAACUACAGAAAAUUUGUGCAUGUUGUGGACCAUUUAUUGAUGAUUCUUUCUAAAUUUGUUAGUAAAAUAUGAUUGUGUAAGACUAUUGAUGUUAUUUAUUUGACAUGAUUGUGAUGCAAAAUAUAAAUUAUUGGUGAACAAAAAAUAAAUAAAACAUUGUUUUGAAAUUAAAUAAAGUGAUUCCGAAAAUACAAUUAAUGUUGCAUAUAUAGCCAGAAAAGCAAAACACUAAUCUGAACAUUUCUCAUUAUUCCAUUCCAUCAACCAAACACUGAGAUGUAACUGUUUCAUUCCACCUCAUUAUUCAUACGAAACACAAAGAUGGAACCAUUACAUUCCAUUCCACUUGGUUCUUCAACCAAACACACCCUCAGUGUCUUUGGCGGCACGGCUGGCUUCUGGGCGAUAGGGCAUGCUCGUGGCGGCCAUGGCGGCGACCUAUGUUNGAUAUGGCGUCCAGCGGAGGCUAGCGGCGCGUGUCGAUGGCUUCUGUUGUGCCUAAGACGGCAAUGGCUGGCGACAAUGGUGGCCCAACAGUGCUCGGUCACGACAGCUGCCAAGGCUUCGCCUUUCUCUAUGGGCACGUAGGGCGUGUGAGAUGGUGGCCCUAGGCAGGUUACGGUGGGGGUGGCGACAGUGUGGGGUCCUAAAGGAGGAUGCGGCCGGCGAUGCCGAGGCUGCCCGAAGACCGAAAGUGUCGGUUCCUGGGCAGCUCCCUAUUGAGAUCUGGAGGAGCCAAAUCUUGAAGGAGCACUAGCUGCCGAUCCGUCCAGAGGUUUUGCAGGCAGGUGGCUGGCGCGCGAGCCGAGGUGCAGGGUUUGGGUAUCCCACCCCCCUCAUGGACGGGCAGUUCGUUGGGCAGCCAUGGCGGCGGUGCUGCCCGGCUAUGGCCGUUGGCCUUGUGGUGGGACCCCGAGGGCAGGUGUCUUCUUCCCUUCGGUCGGCGACGGCCACAUGCUAUGCCGUCGGUGAGAGGUUCGGAUAGGGAUGUCGAGGCGGUGGCCUCAGGUGGCGGGCUACUCGAUAGGCUCUCGACGGGUGUACGGGUGUACGGGUGGCACAGUGGUGGUUGUGCUUCUUGGUCAUGUGGGUGGCGAGAGGUGUUGUGGUGGGUGGCAUUGGUGUCUUCUCUGUUGUGGCAGCGAAGGUGCGCAGAUCUGGUCAUGGAGAUCCCGGCUUCGUAGCAGCGGUUGACUUCGUUACUUCUUUGUGGCUCAGGGUAACAACCGGGUGAAAGCUCUGCGCUUCGUCCCCGGCAGAGACGGCGUCCAUGGGUGCUACUUUCCUCUUGAGGAUGUUGUCGCAGUUUCCCCUACCAGGUUUCUGAGUGAAAACAUUUGUUUGUUCCGUCGGCAACGGCGAUGAAUUGUGCCAUUUCCCUCUUGAGAGUGCCUUAUCUUUGGUUGUGGCGUGGUGUUGUCUUCACGCCCUUUUGUAUUCUUGCUCAUCUUCGUCGUGUCUUCCCAUCCGAUGUGUGUUGUCCAUUUUUUUUUCUAUUUUCUACUUUGUUUGAGGGCUUCCUCACCAUCAUGUAUCGUUCAACCAUGUACUUGUGGUUCGUGCUUUACCAUCCAUGCCAGCAAUUGUGCAUCCAUAAAUGGAACCAAGGGGGUAAGGCAAAUCAAGGAGACAAAAUAAAAAUCUAUGACAUCAAAACUGUAAGAACUAAGAAAAUGUGUCAUGUAACACCAAACUAAUUCGGAAAUCAUUAGCAAUAUGCGGUAAACCACAAGAGAGUACAGAAGCAAGUGUACAACUGAUGGAGAACUCAAAACGAUCAACUUUUUAGCCAUAAAACUUGCAACUGAUGCCAGAUAUCUAACCAUGACCUAAAAGGCUAUGCGUGCUUUCAAAACAAAUCACAAGUCCAGAAACCACCAUGACACUAGCACACGUUUGCAGCCAACACUGGGGUUGCCAACCAGGUAAAUUUUUUAUCCAAAUAACCUACACUAGGCAACUAGAAUAAUACAGGCAAAUCAUUUUCACUCUUACUGUUAAACUACAUUAAACUAUGUCAAAACCAUGGUCUUUGGGCAAGGUAUCCAGGAACAACGUUAAAUUUAGAUAGUUCCAGCUAUUAAUUGCAUUGCUAUAACUUUACCUGGAAAACUCAAAGCAAGGCCAGUGCAACAGCCUGCAACUCCUGCAUUAAUAACUGUAGACAAAAGAUCCACAAGUCAAUGGUCAUCCUUGUCAUUUUAUACACCCUAAGUACUUCAAAAAAGGUAGCAGAAUAGCAGCACAAUCUUAAAGGGGGCAUCAAAGACAGACCGUCAUCUUUUCCACGUAGCUUUCUCAAAGAGCAAGAAACCAAACUUUGAACGCCGGCAAGAACAGCAAAUAUCUAGAACAACAGACAAAAUUCUCAAUGUGAUGGUUAACAGAGAAAAGUCUAUUCCAAACGAAAUGAACAUUGGUAUCCAAUUAAUGAAAUAUGUAUCAUCAUACCUUAGCAGAAGAGGCAGCGUCAGCAAAUGAGCCUUUAAACCCUUUUGUGGUAACCAAACCUUUUCCUAAAAAAUCACCAGAUAUAGUUAACAUAACAAAGAGAUAAUUGUUGUGUUUUGAAUAGAAGGAUGACACACAGCAGGGCAGCCUGACAUAACGUAUACCAAACAAAAAUAUUGUGCACAAUGAACACACAAGGCUGAACCAAUUCAAAUUUACAGGUAGCAUUAAAUGAUUGAAUUGAUUUGACAUGACCACCAGAUCCACUACCAUAUUCCAUAAAAGAUCUACAUUGUUAUAUUCAAGGUGGUAAUGGACGUAACCAGAUAGGCUAUUUUUGUUAUCCGCAAAUUAAGGUGGCAUUUAGUUGGUGAUUGGUUCACUUUGCCUCAGCCUGACUGUCAGUGGUGGAGUGCACAAAGCAGCAAUUGGUUUCUUUAUACAAAAUUAGAGCAGUGAUUAAGUAUCACCCAUGCAUGUUGAGCAACUUAACAUGAUAACAGACACCGCGAAGCUCCAUACGUGCCUCCUUUACUAAGAAAGACCCUGCAUGAGAAUGCAAUGUCGGGAGCAUCUAAUCUACCAAUUAAUCACCAGGUCUAGGUAAAACAGAUUUGACAAUUGACAUGCUUUGGAUUUUGGGCAUCCAAAAACUUCUUUGGAUGACAAUGAGACGCAAAAUCCAAAAAUUGGAUUCUAAAAUUAGGCGUAUGCUUGAACCUAUUUCUGUGCCAAACCACUGGUAACAGAUUAGCAACCAAGAACGGAGCUAGGUGUGUAACUCCAUUGUCUCUUUGUGUGUUGCUUUUACUUUAGUUCUUAGUCCACAACAGGUUGUAUGAACACACCACAAACACACAGUAAACAUACGAGUUGAGUAUGUUUGUAUGAGCCAAAAGAAAGUUCUCUACCAAAUUUUCUGAGAAAACCCGCACAUGUUCUGUAACAUUUUCUUUCAUUUGGCAGCAUUAGCAAGUAAUUUCCCCCCCCCCAUUUUAUCCUUUUGCAAGGAAUAAACACACACUGCAGCUUCCAGAUAGGUACGUAUGCAUGCAGUCAGGCCUUGAAUCAAGUAAACGGAGCAAAAACAAUUUGGUUUUACCAACAUUUCUGAGAAACUUCGCACAUGUUUCAAUCUCAGUAAGCACGUGCUUUUUCACGAGGAAUAAUUAUGCGGUUAACUGUAAAAUCCAUCAAUAAUCUGCUCCAUAAUCCUUGGUGCCAGUGUCACACAAAUUAAACAAAAUUGCUACAAGUUCAACUAUCCUGAAUAUGUAACUGUAAUCAGCUGCAUGAAACCCAAACAACACACCAUGUGCUGCAAUUGAGCCUUAUCUCCUAAAUGUCCUCAACACUGGCACAGUAUACUGCGAAUCUAACAAAGAAAAACCAUAAUCAAUGCCUUAUGAAUGACACUACCCAUAGACCGUGUGAACAAUCAGUACUAAGAGCUCAAUUGCACACCCCAGAUUAGACGAACACCUUAAGACACAACCUUAUGGAAUAUAAUCAAAUCUGAUCUCCUGCCAGUCAAAAACCUUAUCAAAUUACGAGAGGCCUAAAAUAGAAAGGGAGCCAGCCAGGACCAAAGAUCGCAGAGCCCUAACCCUAACGGACGUGUCGAGCCGAACGAGGAGGUGGAGGGGACGGCGGUGUUACCAUAUCCAACGACGGCUCCGACGAGGGAACCGGCGGCCGACUCCCAGGCGAAGCGGAGGAGGCAGACCCCAGGNNNNNNNNNNNNNNNNNNNNNNNNNNNNNNNNNNNNNNNNNNNNNNNNNNNNNNNNNNNNNNNNNNNNNNNNNNNNNNNNNNNNNNNNNNNNNNNNNNNNNNNNNNNNNNNNNNNNNNNNNNNNNNNNNNNNNNNNNNNNNNNNNNNNNNNNNNNNNNNNNNNNNNNNNNNNNNNNNNNNNNNNNNNNNNNNNNNNNNNNNNNNNNNNNNNNNNNNNNNNNNNNNNNNNNNNNNNNNNNNNNNNNNNNNNNNNGACUUCAAUGAUUGCCGUAAAAGAUAGCGCGUGAGAGCCCCAUACCUGACCAAACGAGCCGGCCCGACACGGCCCAUGGUAAUCGGGCCUGGCACGGCACGGCCCGUCCAGGCACGUUUAUUAAUCGGGUCGUGUCGUGUCAGCCCGUGGGCUGCGCCUCUAGGCCUGUAAGAUUUGAGAGAGAGAGGUUUUGGAUCAGCACACUUUAUUCAAUCUAAACCAUGAUGUCUAACAGAAAACCCUAAGGAGGUAGUCAGCGGCAGCAAUCGUGCGAGGUGGGUUAGUGCUGGGUUAUCGAUUCCGAGGCAUGCGGACGUGCAUGCGUGCUGGGUCAUCGCCAUGCAUGGGCUUGCUUGAGGGCCAAGUCGGCCGACGCCAUGGGCUGUAGUGAGGUCUAUUCCAAAACCACCCCUCCCCCCCCCCGCCCGCAGUCGAUGCCUCGCUGUCGGAGAUGCAUAGACCGGAGCGGAAUUCCCGAAACAUCGACGGUGGAAGCCCCUUGGUCAUGACGUCGGCGAACUGUUGAGCCGUAGGUACGUGAAGAACACGGACAUGCCCCAGCGCCACCUUCUCGCGGACGAAAUGGAUGUCGAGCUCGAUGUGCUUGGUGCGACGGUGAUGGAUGGCAGAGAGGUACACCGCCGAGACAUUGUCGCAGUAGACUACCGUGGCUUUGGCGACGCCGCAUUGUAGCUCAGUUAAGAGCUGACGCAGCCACGAGCACUCGGCAACCGCAUUGGCAACGGCAGGGUACUCGGCCUCCGCGCUAGAGCGGGACACGGUGGGUUGCCGUUUGGACGACCACGACACCAGCGAAGGCCCCAUGUAGAUGCAGUAGCCAGAGGUGGAGCGGCGAGUGUCGGGGCAGCCGACCCAGUCGGCGUCGGAGUAGGCGACGAUGUCGAGCGACGAGGAGGCGCAGAGAGAGAGCCCAAGCGAGGGCGACCCGUGGAUGUACCUCAAGAUGCGCUUCACCAAUGUCCGGUGAACGUCACACGGAGCAUGCAUUGUGGAGGCAGACUUGUUGCACCGCGUACUCGAGAUCGGGCCUCGUCAGUGUCAGGUACUGGAGGGCGCCGACGAUGCUGCGGUAGAAGGAGGCAUCGGAGAAGGGGACGCCAGCCUGCCCUAAGACCUUGCCCGAGGUGUCGAUGGGGGUAGAUGCUGGCUUACAGUUGAUCAUGCCGGCGCAGUCCAGCAGUUCGAGGGCGUACUUCUUCUGGCAGAGGAAGAAGCCAUCGGAGCGGCGCGUGACCUCCACGCCCAGGAAGUAAUGGAGCGCGCCAAGGUCCUUCAGGGCGAACUCGCAUUGAAGGAGACCGACGACGCGACGGAGGAGAGCGUCGGUGGAGGCCGUCAAGACAAUGUCAUCGACGUACAGCAGAAGGUACACCAUGUCAGUGCCACGGCGGUAGACGAACAACGAUGCGUCGGACCUGGUGAUGACGAAGCCGACACGGACCAGGAACGCGGUAAUGCGUUGGUACCAGGCGCAGGGAGCGUGCUUGAUGCCGUAGAGGGACCGAGAGAGCAGGCAGACGUCGUCGGGGCGCGCAGGGUCGACGAAGCCAGCCGGCUGCUGGCAGAAAACUUGCUCCGUCAGGUGCCCGUGCAAGAAGGCGUUGGAGACGUCGAGUUGAUGGACGACCCAGCGGCGCGAGUAGGCGAGCUGAAGGACACAAUGACUCGUGCCCGGCUUCACGACGGGGGCGAAAGUCUCGGUGAAGUCGUGUCACGCCCAAGAUGCGACCCUAUCCUCAAUUUGGCACGAGGGCCUCGUCAGGGAUAGAAGCGCAUCUCGUCGUGUCGCAAGAAUGGAUAUCGUUACAAGUACAUGUACUAAAAGGAAGAGAUAUAUAAUAGAAUUGGCUUACACUUGCCACAAGCUACAUCAGAGUCACAUCAGUACAUUACAUAUUCAUCAUGAAGAAGAGCAGGGUCCGACUACGGACGAAAACAAACGAGAAAAGAAGAACGGCGUCCAUCCUUGCUACCCCAGGUUGCCGGCCUGGAACCCAUCCUAGAUCGAUGAAGAAGNNNNNNNNNNNNNNNNNNNNNNNNNNNNNNNNNNNNNNNNNNNNNNNNNNNNCCUUUACCUGUAUCUGCAACUGGUGUUGUAGUAAUCUGUGAGCCACAUGGGACUCAGCAAUCUCAUUUCCAAAGGUAUCAAGACUAGCAAAGCUUAAUGGGUGAGGUAAGGUUAAGUGGUGAGGUUGCAGCAGCGGAUAAGCAUAUAUUUGGUGCCUAAACUUACGAGUACAAGAAAUAAGAGGGGGAAGAUCUACGCAUAACGGACGUGAACUACUGGUGAUCAAAGGAAUGAUCCUGAGCACCUACCUACGUCAGACAUAACCCCACCGUGUCCUCGAUCGGAGUAAGAACUCACGAAAGAGACAGUCACGGUUACGCACCUAGUUGGCAUGUUUUAAUUAAGUUAUCUUCAAGUUAUCUAGAACCAGUGUUAAACAAAGCUUCCACGUUGCCACAUAACCGCGGGCACGGCUUUCGGAAAGAUUCAACCCUGCAGGGGUGCUCCAACUAGUCCAUCACAAAUUACCACAAGCCGCAUAGAAAUCCUCAAUCACGAAGCUCGCGAUCUCGUCGGAUUUCCUAGUGGAAAACCUCAACUCUGAGAUUACCCAAAGCAUCACCGGAAUCCCGAUGCACAAGAUAUCUCGUCAAAGGUAAAACUAAUCCAGCAAGGCCACCCGCGCGUGUCGACGAUCCCGAUAGGAGCCGCGUAUCUCGUUCUCAGGACACGAUGGAUGAGCGACGCGUACGGUGGCCUGAUAGAAAUCACCCAAGUUUCCCUGGGUUGGCCCCGCACAGUGCUCUGUUUUGGACCAGCACCAUCAGCACUGGCCCUCCCUGUAUUAUGUAGAAUUACUCCUCGGGUUCAUGACGCCCUAUGCUUUCAGUAUUAACAAAAUUAUUAUGUUGGGAAAAUGUAGUACCAAUGUUGGGCCUUGCCAGACCAGCUUUAAUCUAAAACGAAUUAUCAAGGGGGUCCCCAUAACAACCCCCAUCGUGUUAGGAGCGCUCAAUUAUGGAACAUAACACCGGUAGCCGAAACUAAGGGGGCAAAGGUGGAACAAAACACCAGGCUAGAAAGGCCGAGCCUUCCACCUUUUACCAAGUAUAUAGGUCCAUUAAAUUAAAUAGCAUUAAUAUGGUGAUAUGACAAGGAACUCAUGUUUUCACAUGGAAGCAACUACACCUGCAACUAGCAACGCUAACAACAUGGUUAAGCAAGCAGUAGCAUAGCCAAUCAGUGGUUUGCUAGGUUGAACAAGUUGAAGGUUUCAUGGCAUUGUUGAGAGGCUGAUAUUUAACAUGUGGUAGGCAACGAGACAUAAUCGAUAGAAGCGGUAAAACUAGCAUGGCAAUGAUAGUAAUGGUAUCCGGGGAAAUGGUCAUCUUGCCUGAGAUCCCACUUGGAAGAAGAACAACUCCGUGAAGUCGGCGAACCAAUGUGGUCAGACGGGUCCUCACAUUCCGACACGCUUGCGGAACUCUAUUGAGACGGAGCAAACCGGAAACAAACAUCAACACAGAUAUUCACCACACGAUGCACAACAUGAUGCAUACCCAAUAUGAUGCAUGGACGCCCAACCCCUAAUGAUGCACUUAAACCAUCCUACAUCGGUAAACAGGUGCCACAUCAUCAUGAAGUGACACCUCAGCAGGACUGCCCAAAACUGGAAACUACUAACUCCAUUGGAUUCCUUGGGUUCUCCUCCCCCAAAUCUAUAUACUACACUCCUAUAUAUGCAUGCAGAAAAACACCAGAAACAGCAAAGGAAAAACUACACAAGAUCAAACUCUGCUAACAACAAGAACAGGGGUUGUUCUUGAUAUGCCAGAUUUGGCAUAUACCUCUUCUGAAAUAUCCAGAUAUGGAAAUACAUCACAACACCAAUCAACAAAAUUAUAUAAUCGUCAGGGGGUCCCACUGGUCAUACUCACCAGGGCCCCUAGUAAGGCAUGUGGGCUCUGGACCCACUGACAGAGGCACACUACAACAAGCAACUAAAAACACAAGGGAAAAAACUAACAUGGGAGUAGGGGGACUCGAACCCACUACCUUCUUGCAAGACAACAGGGCAAUCACCACUGAGCUAGGCUCGGAUCACUGCCCUAACAAGGGGAGUAACCCACCUAUGCUACACGUGCAGACAACGCAACAAAUUGAAACAAAAACCCAAAUAAGAGGACGCGCGAGGGGCUCGAACCCUCGACCUACUGGCGCUGCAGUGGCUCGGUUGCCACUACGAUGGUGAAGUAUAACUGCUAGAACAAGGGAAGAAAUGCACAUAUGCAGGCUCUGCUAGCUAGCACAGGAGAACAAAAAUCGUAGAGAAUAAAAGGGGGGCGCUGGGUCUCGAACCCGAGACGUUGAGAACGAAAACAUGCUCGAUGCCACUGCGCUACCGUGGGGAUUCUGCCUAAGAAGGGAGCAAAGCAGAUCUAAAAGAAAACAUGGGGCGUCGCUGGAGCAGGGAGACGCCGGCGACGACGACGCGCGCCAGAGCCACUCGCCUGCAGGCGCAUACGACGCACAACCACGCGAUGCGCUACGUCCCUCGCGUCACUACAUAGCAGGCGCGGAACCUACGCCUAUAAGACGCAUGCACGCAGAGCUGCGGAAACUAGCGCAUCCUGCCGGUGCAACUCCGACAGGGCGGCGCCCACGCGCAACAUCGGCGACCUACUGCAGAGAGGGAAACGAAGGGGGGAUAGAGCUGCGCUCACCCAGGGUGCAGAGAGAGGGCUCGCGGGAGGGGAGACACGCCGCGCGACGACGUCCUGCUGCAGAGAACUCGUCGGAGAGGAAGAAGGACCAUCCGCCGAGGAGGUCGAGGCCGUCGUCCUUGGCGCUAGCUGCCCGUGGGAAUGGAACUCCAUGGGCGCCCGCGAGCUCCUGGUCCAGGAGGGGGAAGAAGGGGGCGUCGGGCUACCACGCAUCAGGCACUUGCCCGAGCCGGCCAUGGUGCGGUGGAGCUCGGGAACUCGCCCCGACGGCGCUAGGAGGGANGACGAGGGUUAGGGUUUCAGAGAGUCCGAGGCUGCUAAGUAUCUCGCACCACCCGCUCGGGGCCGUCUGAUCGAGGGAAGAAACGAUCUAUGGUGGUCAGGGGGUUCGUACGUGCUGACAUGAUCGAGGAGGAAGAAGCUGCCGCCAGCCAGGCCUGGGCUGAUUGCACUCACCUGGGCCUGGUGCUCCCUCUCUCACUGAGAAGGCCUACCUAAUAAAACAUUACAGCGAAAAUCAAACCACACGGGCUAAAGGAAAAUAGUUUUGGUGGAAACAAAAAUAUAACUGGGCUUUUAAAAUGUUGCCACUGUUUAUAAAAAUAAGUGGAACAUUUUUAGAAGUCCAAAAUUAUAUUCAUCUAAUUUAAAUGGGCUUUGAUUUUUUAAAUAAGAUAAGAAGGAAAGUAAAGUAGAAACCAGAGGGGUUGCCUCCACAAAAUGAAAAGGAUUUUUUUUAGGGAAAGAUGAACAUUUUUUUAAAUGGAGAAACAAAGCCUUUUAAACCUGCCACAAAUUAACAUAGAGAGAGAAGGGUUUUCUCCUUAUGGAGCAACAUGUGGGUUUUGACAUGCACUUGUUGCCCCCACACCUAAACAAUCACUAAGGACAUCAACACAACACUUGCACAUCACAACAAGGACACCCACAUCAACACAACCACAACAAAAGGGAAAGAAUGCAAUGCAAGAAGGCAUGAUGCACAUGAAAUGAUGACACAAAGUUAGGCUCACCCCACAUCACACCAACAUGCCAAGGUUGCCAUACAAGGAGGAUACAAAAGGGGAGGGGAGAUUGCACUUGGGCUGUCACAAGUCGAGACCAGCCCGUUGCCGGAAGCCGCGAACGACCCAGCUGCCAGGUGCGAUUCCUCAGUAGCGCGUCGUACUCGUCUUGCAUGACGGCGCGCCAGUGAGGGUCCCGGAGCGCCGAGUGGACGGACGCAGGGAGCGGCGAAGGAGCCGUCGUGGUGGCAGUGCAGACGUACUCGUUGGAGGAGUACCUCUGGCUGGGUCGAUGGACACCCGCGCGCGCACGGGUAAGCACUCCGAAGUGUACGGGGGCAGCAGGUGGGGCAGUUGAGGGAGAGGCCGGCCCCGUACUGGGCACGGGGGCAGCAGGUGGUGGAGGCGUCGUGCCGACAGGAGCGGGGCCCGGUGGUGCAGGAGACGGGGCCGAGACGCCCGGGGCAACUAGCGGAGAAGNNNNNNNNNNNNNNNNNNNNNNNNNNNNNNNNNNNNNNNNNNNNNNNNNNNNNNNNNNNNNNNNNNNNNNNNNNNNNNNNNNNNNNNNNNNNNNNNNNNNNNNNNNNNNNNNNNNNNNNNNNNNNNNNNNNNNNNNNNNNNNNNNNNNNNNNNNNNNNNNNNNNNNNNNNNNNNNNNNNNNNNNNNNNNNNNNNNNNNNNNNNNNNNNNNNNNNNNNNNNNNNNNNNNNNNNNNNNNNNNNNNNNNNNNNNNNNNNNNNNNNNNNNNNNNNNNNNNNNNNNNNNNNNNNNNNNNNNNNNNNNNNNNNNNNNNNNNNNNNNNNNNNNNNNNNNNNNNNNNNNNNNNNNNNNNNNNNNNNNNNNNNNNNNNNNNNNNNNNNNNNNNNNNNNNNNNNNNNNNNNNNNNNNNNNNNNNNNNNNNNNNNNNNNNNNNNNNNNNNNNNNNNNNNNNNNNNNNNNNNNNNNNNNNNNNNNNNNNNNNNNNNNNNNNNNNNNNNNNNNNNNNNNNNNNNNNNNNNNNNNNNNNNNNNNNNNNNNNNNNNNNNNNNNNNNNNNNNNNNNNNNNNNNNNNNNNNNNNNNNNNNNNNNNNNNNNNNNNNNNNNNNNNNNNNNNNNNNNNNNNNNNNNNNNNNNNNNNNNNNNNNNNNNNNNNNNNNNNNNNNNNNNNNNNNNNNNNNNNNNNNNNNNNNNNNNNNNNNNNNNNNNNNNNNNNNNNNNNNNNNNNNNNNNNNNNNNNNNNNNNNNNNNNNNNNNNNNNNNNNNNNNNNNNNNNNNNNNNNNNNNNNNNNNNNNNNNNNNNNNNNNNNNNNNNNNNNNNNNNNNNGGAGGCGAGCUGGAGACCUGUUGAAAGGGAAAAACAUACUCGUCAAAGUACACGUACCUGGAGAUGAGAACUCGCCCAGAUGCCGGAUCGAAGCAACGGAAACCCUUGGUAUUGGGGGGGGGGUAGCCGAAGAAUACGCAGAGAAUAGACUGGGGGCGAGUUUAUGUGGAGAAGUAGCGAGAAGAUUAGGAUAACAGAGGCAACCAAACACCCGGAGGUUGUCGUAGGAGGGUUGGUGACCAAAGAAGAGGUGAUCGGGAGUGAAUUGGCCACGAGCACGGUAGGGGCGCAGGUUGAGGGUGUGGGUGGCGCUGGAGAGAGCCUCGGUCCAGAACCGGGGCGGAACGGCGGCGUGAAGGAGCAGCGCACGAACAACGUCGUUGAGGGUACGAAGAGCACGUUCGGCACGCCCAUUUUGCUGGGAUGUAUACGGGCAUGUAAGGCGGAGGAUGGAACCGUGCGCGGAAAGCAAAGAGUGGAUGCCAUGGUUGUCGAAUUCGCGCCCGUUGUCGGUUUGGAGGCCGAGUAUAGGGCGGGAAAACUACGUUUGAACAAAGGCGAAGAACGAAGUGAGCGUGGGGAGGACAUCCGACUUGCGAUGCAACGGAAAAGUCCAUACAAAGUGCGAGAAAUCAUCGAGAAGCACCAAGUAGUAUUGAAACCCUGAAUUGCUUAUUAUUGGAGAGCACCAUACAUCACAAUGCAACAAUUCAAAUGGAAAACGAGAGAUGUGAGAAGAAGAAAAAGGAAGGCGAGUGCUCUUGCCCAAACGGCAAGCAGAGCACGAGUGAGGCGCACUUUUAAUACAUUGAAAAAGAUUGCUACGGAGGAGCUGGUGCAUGGUCGAGGCACCGGGGUGCCCCAAGCGGGCAUGCCAGAUAUCGACGCCCGCGCGAGGAGGGCGACGCCGGAGCGGAUAGAGAUCACCAGGGCUAUCACAUCGGAGCAGCACCGUCUUGGUCCGCAGGUCCUUGAUGGAGAAACCAAAGGGGUCAAAUUCAACCAAAACAAAAUUCUGACGAGUGAGUGCACGAACAGAAAUGAGAUUAGUGAUAAGCUGAGGAGAAACGAGCACAUCAUAGAGUUUAAUGGGAGAAUGAGGGGAGAGAGAGAUCACCGUGGUGUGUGAUGGGGAGAGAGGAACCAUCACCCACCACGAUGCGAGUAGAUGUAGGGAAGGGUUUAGACUGGGAGAGGAUACCAGGGUGGGAGGCCAUGUGGGAGGAUGCGCCAGUGUCCAUGAACCAGUCGUCGUUGCCGGAGUAGGCGGCCGACGAGGGAGCCUGAUGCAGGGCCGCCAGGAGCGCUGGAUCGUAGGGGGAGGACGCCCCGCCGGAGUUGCUGAGCCAGUGCCCAGGGGGCGUGGNNNNNNNNNNNNNNNNNNNNNNNNNNNNNNNNNNNNNNNNNNNNNNNNNNNNNNNNNNNNNNNNNNNNNNNNNNNNNNNNNNNNNNNNNNNNNNNNNNNNNNNNNNNNNNNNNNNNNNNNNNNNNNNNNNNNNNNNNNNNNNNNNNNNNNNNNNNNNNNNNNNNNNNNNNNNNNNNNNNNNNNNNNNNNNNNNNNNNNNNNNNNNNNNNNNNNNNNNNNNNNNNNNNNNNNNNNNNNNNNNNNNNNNNNNNNNNNNNNNNNNNNNNNNNNNNNNNNNNNNNNNNNNNNNNNNNNNNNNNNNNNNNNNNNNNNNNNNNNNNNNNNNNNNNNNNNNNNNNNNNNNNNNNNNNNNNNNNNNNNNNNNNNNNNNNNNNNNNNNNNNNNNNNNNNNNNNCGCUGCAGAGAGGACUGCUGCAUCCUCCGCUCCUUGAGGCGCAAGUAGUUGAUGGCGCGGGCGAACGUCGGCUCGGUGAGAAGGUUGAGAUUAGAAGCAGCGUUGGCGUAGUCUGAACCGAGCCCACGGAUCAGGUUCGUGAGCAUGGUGGCGUCAGAGACCGGGGCGCCCACGUCGCGGAGCUCGUCGGCGAGCACCUUGAGGCGGAGGCAGUAGUCGAAGAGCCCCAUGCCUUCCUGGGAGAGGCUGUAGAACUCGGUCGUGAGAAGCACAUGACGCUGGAGCUGAUUGUCGAGGAAGAGCUGGCAGAUGGAGGUCCAAAUGCCGAGGGCCGAGUCAUCGUCGCGGAUGACGUGCGAGAGGAUCUCGUUGCUGACGGUGCGAUAGAGCCACUUGAUGGUAGUGGCGUCAACCCUCAUCCAGUUGGCAUCGUCGCGCAUGGCGCGGGCGUCAACCGAUCUGUCGACAUGAUCCCGAAUUUGGAAUUCGCGGAAGGUCAACGAGACGUAGGUGCGCGAGGUGGAGAAGGAGGGUGUGUGGAUAUCCAGGACGACGGGGACGUGAUCCUGGAUGUGGAUGAGCCGAAGGCUGGCGGCAGAGGCAGGCUCGAGAACGGCAAAGGGGUUGACCUCGCCGGCGAGGGAGGAGCGAGGGGAGGCCAUCGCGGCGGUGGGUAGCGGAAGCGAGGAGAGGAUCAGAAGAAAACUAAUACCAUGUAAGAUUUGAGAGAGAGAGGUUUUGGAUCUGCACACUUUAUUCAAUCUAAACCAUGAGUAUUUAUACAGGUAGAUGAUCAGUGUCUAACAGAAAACCCUAAGGAGCUAGUUAGCGGCAGUGACCGUGCGAGGUGGGUUAGCAUUGGGUUAUCGAUUCCCAAGCAUGCGGACGUGCAUGCGUGUUGGGUCAUCGCCAUGCAUGGGCUUGCUUGAGGACCAAGUCGGGCCGACGACAUGGGCUAUAGUGAGGCCUGUUUCAACACCAGGCACGACCCGAUUAUUAAACGGGUCGGCAUGUUGGCCCGAUUAGCACGCUNCACGUGCCCAGCCUCCAGGCCCAGGCACGGUCCGAGGCGUGCUUCGUGUCGAGCCCGAGCACGAUUAGCCCGUGCCGGGCCGGGCCGGGCCCGUGUCGUGCCAGACACGCGGGCUGUCGGGCAAGCCCAUUUACCCGGCCCCCAUUUGGCGAGAUCUGGUUCCAGCAGACACUGUAACAAAAUCGAUGCACGUGUGGUAGUGGUGGAAAGGCACGUGGAGAAGGCGUUGAAUUUAUAAUGUGCGCCGAGCACCAUGCGCCAAAUCUAACACGUGUCGGGCCGCCUUUUCCCGUGCUUAAACUUUUCCCGCGCGUCAGAAUCUUUCGCGUGCGCUGGAGUGCACGCUAAAAUUCAAUUUUCCCUUGUGCCCACGUUUUUUAAGUCACUGUUGGAGAUGCUCUCGGGGGAACCAACUUGAGGGAGCGUGGUAUUCUUAGUCGGCCAGGUUUAAAUCUUGUGCUCGUAUUAUUUUUGAAAUUAUUUUAGGAUUUUCAGCAAUGCGCAUUUAGUGAAAAGAAUCAUUUUUGUCGACGACGAGGCGCCUAGAGUGAUUUAGUAAAUCUUAAGAUGAUAUGGUGGCUCAGUCUCUCGAAUGUGAUCAUAAGGAUAGGGUGUACGUAUAUGAGUUCAUAGGGAUGAUUAUAUACACGUGUAUAUGAGCGCUUACGUAUGUACUGUGUUAGAAAAAUACCGUCGCAUAGAAGAACACGGUUUUUUAUUUUAGAGGAAUGACCAUGUGUCUAUUAAACAAACAAUUACAAUGAAUACAUACAUAUAUACACNAUAUAUAUAUGGGGGGGGGGUCUCUUCAUGACUCAAGUGAAUGACAAGGACAAGGUUGAGAUGCCAUCUUUAUAUCAAAAUUUGUAUCAAUCAUUUCAUGACUCAAAUGGUCUGCUACAAUAAUUUCAAAGGUAUGGCACCCUCAAUCCAUCUCCCAAUAUCGUUCAAUUGCUCUUGGCACGGUGAUGUAUAAGAUUGUUGUUAAGGUAGUAGCUAAUCGUAUGAGGGGCAAUAUGAAGGUGAUCAUUAGUGAAGAGCAAAGUAUUUUUGUGCCUCGGUAUUUAAUUAAUGACAACAUUGUAUUUGCAUAUGAAAGUGUGGACACUAGGAGGCGACAAAAGAAGGGCAAGAGUUUCUCAUGCAUUGUUAAAUUGGUGAUGAAAGCCUACAACUGAAUUGAGUGGCAUUACUUGGAAGCCAUCUUGAUGAAGUUGGGUUUUAGCAUCGAUUUCGUAAGACUUAUUACGAAAUAUGUUUCGUCGGUCAGAUUCUCGGUAAGGGUGAAUCAAGAUCUUCUACCAUACUUCACUCCUACAGGGGGAUUGCGACAUGGCGUCCCAAUGUCAUUAUACCUAUUUCUGCUAUGUGUGGAAAGUUUUUCCUCGCUACUCAAAUACUAUGAUGGUGGCUAUGUGGACAAGGGGACCAGAGUCAAUUAUAGAUCACCGCGGGUGAGCCAUUUAUUAUUUGUCGAUGAUAGCCUCAUCUUCCUCAAUGCAACAAGGUUGAACUCCAUUAUUGAGAUAUGUGGAAGUGCUUCAGGGCAGAGUGUGAAUAUAGAUAAGCGGGCCAUCUAUUUUAGUCCUAACACACCGGAUCCGGUUCGACAAUUGCUGAAAACAUCCUUGGAUAUUCAUGUCGAGGCUUUCAUUGUAAAGUAUCUUGGUCUUCCAACAGCUGUGGGGCGCAUUACAAUUGAACUUUUGUACACAUGGAGAUAGGGCUCGAGGGAAGAUGCAAGAGUAGUUGGAAAAGUUAAUAGCUUGCGCCGGGAGAGAUGCAGUAUUGAAGUUCGUUGUUCAAGCGCUCCCGUUGUACAGUAUGACCACUUUUAUCUUGAACAAGAAAGUCUAUAAGAGCAUCACUUCACCAAUGGCAGAGAAAUUAUGGAGUAUCUCUUUGGACAAGAAAUCUAUGCAUUGGGUUUCAUGGUAUAAACUUGCGACUCCAAAGCGCAAAGAGGGCAUGGGAUAUUGAGACAUGCACCCCUUUAAUUUGGCUUUGCUAGGGAAGCAUGGUUGGCAUUUAUGACCUAGCCUAUAUUCCUAUAUGCAAGGGUUUUGAAGGGUCGCUACUUCCCGCACAUUGAUUUCAUGAAUGUUGUUCUUCCUCGCUCGGUAUCAGCUACAUGGCAUGCUACAAUUGCAGGAAUGGAAUCACUAAAGUUUGUUAUGAUAAAGCGAGCUGGUGAUGGAUCACCAAUUUCGUUUUGGGAUGAUAAAUGGACCGCGGGAAGUAUUUCCAUGACACCGAUGCUGAAACCGGAGAACGGGUGAUUGAAAAGGUCCCUGAGUUGAUUGAUUAGGACAAAUGUACAAGGAAUCAACAUGUGGUCAUAGAUACUUUUAUCCCGUCUCAUGCAGAUGCCAUUCUAAACGUUCCAAUUCGGCAAGGUGGAUGCAAUGAUUUUCUUGCUUGCGCAUUUGAAAAGCCAGGAAACUACAGUGUUAAAUCAGCGUACCAUAUCUCAUGACUUAAAAAGAGUGUUUGACUCUGGAAAAAGGAACGGCUACCGAGACCUCAAAGAGUGGUCAACAAUUAUGGAGUGCACUUCAGAAGUUGAAUGUUUUGCCAAGGGUUAGGGUGUUCUAGUGGAGGGUCUUGCAUGGAAUCAUGCUGGAUAUGCUUUAGGAGGGGCGCACAUUCCUGAUCUUCCCCAUGCCUGUCAGGCGAGCGAGGGCUGGGUGCGGUGCAUGUGCUCGGGUUAGCCCCAAUAGAGCAGAAAAAUCCAAGCGAUUGAGCUCUAGCUCACGGGCCUGCUCUCGUGUACAUCACCUCACCAGGUCCUUGAUGCUCUUGUCUCCUCGCGUAACAUCCAAAGGCAACCCCACGAGCGCCCUCGCUGCACUACUCUUGGCAAUUUCCCUGGUGCAAGAUAUCGAAGGCCUCAUGAGCCCCUGAUACGUCCAUUUUGCAUCAUGCUUUCAUGUUGAUAUUUAUCGCUUCUUGGGGUGUUAUUUCAUUUCACGGUACAAUACUUAUGCCUUUUCUCUCUUAUUUUGCAAGGUUUACAUGAAGAGGGAGAAUGCCGGCAACUGGAAUUCUGGCCUGAAAAAGGAGCAAGUUUGAGAUGCCUAUUCUGCGCAACUCCAAAAGCCAUGAAAAUCAACGUGGAUUUUUUUGGGAAUUUAUAAAAAAUACUGGGAUGAAGAAGUGCCAGAGGAGCGCAACCAGGGGGCCACAAGCCUCGUAGGCGCGACCACCCCCCUGGCCGCGCCUAGGGGGCUUGUGGGCUCCCUACUGGCCCACUGGCUCCCCUCUUCUGCUAUAUGAAGGGUUUCGUUCCGAAAAAAAAUCAAGAGGAGGCUUUUCGGAGGAUUCGCCGCCGCCACGAGGCGGAAGUUGAGCAGAACCAAUCUAGAGCUCCGGCAGGACGAUCCUGCCGGGGAAACUUCCCUCCUGGAGGGGGAAAUCGUCGCCAUCGUCAUCACGAACACUCCUCUCAUCGGAAGGGACUCAUCACCAUCAACAUCUUCAUUAGCACCAUCUCAUCUCCGAACCUUAGUUCAUCACUUGUAACCAAUCUCCGUCUCCCGACUCCGAUUGGUACUUGUAAGGUUGUUAGUAGUGUUAAUUACUAUUUGUAGUUGAUGCUAGUUGGAUUAUUUGGUGAAAGAGUUUAUGUUCAGAUCCUUGAUGCUACUCAUUACCUCUCUGGUCAUGAAUAUGAUUAUGCUUUGUGAGUAGUUACUUUUGUUCCUGAGGACAUGGGAUAAGUCAUGCUAAUAGUAGUCAUGUGAAUUUGGUAUUCGUUCGAUAUUUUGAUGUGUUGUAUGUUGUUUUUACUCUAGUGGUGUUAUGUGAACGUCGACUACAUAAAAUUUCACCACUAUUUGGGCUAUAGGAAGGAAUUGGGAAGUAGUAAGUAGAUGAUGGGUUGCUAGAUUGACAGAAGCUUAAACCCUAGUUUAUGCGUUGCUUCGUAAGGGGCGGAUUUGGAUCCACUAGUUUAAUGCUAUGGUUAGACUUUGUCUUAAUUCUUCUUUCGUAGUUGCGGAUGCUUGCGAGAGGGGUUAAUCAUAAGUGGGAUGCUUGUCCAAGUAAGGGCAGUACCCAAAUGCCGGUCCACCCACAUAUCAAACUAUCAAAGUAACGAAAGCGAAUCAUAUGAACAUGAUGAAAACUAGCAUGACAGAAAUUCCCGUGUGUCCUCGGGAGCGUUUUUCCUCCUAUAAGACUUUGUCCAGGCUUGUCCCUUGCUACAAAAGGGAUUGUGCCACUUUGCUGCACCAUUGCUACUUUUGUUACUUGUUGCUUGUUGCGAAUCAUCUCACCACACAACCACUUGUUACCGAUAAUUUCAGUGCCUGCAGAUAUUACCUUGCUGAAAACCACUUGUCAGAUCCUUCUGCUCCUCAUUGGGUUCGACACUCUUACUUGUAGAAAGGACUACGAUAGAUCCCCUAUACUUGUGGGUCAUCAGCCCCCCAUCACGAGGCCUCGCAAGCUGCUCCCUAUGGAGGACUCACUCCAAGCUGCACACCUCAAAGGAGCUAAGUCUAAAACACCCCUCGGGUUUUAUACCUCUCAUUCACCUCUCAAGGCAUCUUGAUUUCCUUGGCACGAGACGCCUACACGUCAAGGGGGACCCUGAGCAUCGUGCCUUAGGGACUCCUACCAUCCCUAAGAUCCCUACACCAUGUGGCCUUGUUGAGCGCAUGCUCUACACAUACCAGCAACGGUUGUAGCCCGUCCCGGGGGCUGGGUCCAAGCGACACAAGGCACAAAGGCAACCUAAAAGGGAAAUAAAGGCCUCGAGAGGAAAACAAAAACACAUAAAACAUCAACUACUUAAGACAAAAGUGCCAUAAGAAUGUUUUCACACACCCACGAGGCUGCAUAUACUUUAUUACAGCAAUGCGCCAAGGGGAGUCUAGGCGGACGAGGCACCACUGUCGUUACUCUCGCCAUCAUUGUGAGGGGUCUCUCUACCACAACCGAUGUGAUCCCUCGCAACCUCUCGUCUGAAACCAAAGUGACUAUCGAGGCAGAGAAGGUUGUCGAAAAGUCGCAUCGUCGCCAGGGUCAACAAGUCACGACACGCCUCCUCGACGAUGGCGUCCACAUCAAGCAGUUGCUUCUUGAGGUCGUCGACCUCGGCCUAGAGCUUGCCCCGCUGGCCCGUGAGGCCCUUCUGUUCAUCGAGAGUAGCCUGGGCGGAAACCAACUUGCACUCCUUCGCCAAUAGGCGCUCCCGCUCUGCCUCCCACGCAGACGGGAAAGACGAUAACUCGCGCUCCCGGGUCUCGAUGUUCGCCUCGCGGGAGGCGACCGCCCUGGGGCGCCUCAAGACCUCCUCCUCAUGUUUUGUGAGCUCGACUUAGCAGGGCGUGGGACAGCUCUCGGAGGCCUCCAUAGCCUCCUCCCGCAUUUUGAGCGGACGCUCGCAUAAAGCAGGUGGUUCCUAGAGCAUCUUCUCGUCGGCAUGAGGCCCCCUCCCGUUGUCGCUUGGCCUCCUGGCAUUAUCGAGGGCCUUCAUGAGGGACACAUGGGCAUCUUUGGCGAGCUAAUCGUGAUAUGCUUGCGCCUCCUCACCCUGCUGACGGUCUAGCUUCAUCGCCUUCUCAAGCCGGCUCUUCCCCUUCUCCAAGCGUCGCCGCUCCUCCGCGUAGAGCUUUGCCUCUGUGCGCCCCUGGGAGAGUGCCUCCCGAUCCUCGACAGCCUCGCCCUCACCCUCAAGCCGAAGCUCGCCCUCCUCCUUGCCUCCCACCAGUUUUUUCUCCAGGCACGUCGGGGCGACGGGCGAGACGACCGACUCCUUGCUGAUUGCGUUGGGUUCCCUCCAGGCUCAAAUGGUGAUGUAGCACAUCGAAGACAAGUAUUUCCCUCAGUUAUGAAACAAAGGUAUCAAUCUAGUAGGAAGAUCCACAAGACUAUGUAAGCGACACAUGCACACAAAUAGCAAAUCCUUGCAAGCCAACGCGUGGAGAGGUCAUCAAUCCCUCGUGGGUAAAGUAAGGAUAGAUUGAUAUAUGCAAAUAAGAAUGAUAGCAAAUAAAAUGCAGCAUGGUAUUUUUGUUUUUUUAUAAUAUAGAUCUGAAAAUAAAAGAGAAAACAAAAUAGAAACAUGAAUAGCAAAUUAGAGGUUGCAAAUAGAUGAUGUGAAGUAGAUCCGAUGGCCGUAGGUUUCACUAGUGGCUUCUCUUGAGAAAAUAGCAAACGGUGGGUAGACAAAUUAUUGUUGGGCAAUUGAUAGAAGAGCAGAAAAUUAAGACGAUAUUCAAGACAAUGAUCAUGUGUAUGUUGGAAAUAUGCCCUAGAGGCAAUAAUAAAAUAGUUAUUAUUAUAUUUCCUGUUUCAAGAUAAUCGUUUAUUAUCCAUGCUAUAAUUGUAUUGAAUGAAAGCAUAGAUACAUGUGUGGAUAUAUAGACAAAACAAUGUCCCUAGUAAGCCUCUAGUUGGCUAGCCAGUUGAUCAAGCAUGGUUAAGGUUUUUUGACCAUAUGCAAGUGUUGUCACUUGAUGACCGGAUCACAUCAUUAGGAGAAUGAUGUGAUGGACAAGACCCAAACUUUGAACGUAGCAUGUGAUCGUGUCAUUUUGUUGCUAUUGUUUUCUGCGUGUCAAGUAUUCAUUCCUAUGACCAUGAGAUCAUGUAACUCACUGACACCAGAGGGAUACCUUGUGUGUAUCAAACGUCGCAACGUUACUGGGUGACUAUAAAGGUGCUCUAUAGGUAUCUCCGAAGGUGUCCGUUGAGUUAGCAUGGAUCAAGACUGGGAUCUGUCACUCCGUGUGACGGAGAGGUAUCUCGGGGCCCACUCGGUGAUACAACAUCACAUAUAAGCCUUGCAAGCAAUGUGACUCAAGUGUUAGUCACGGGAUCUUGUAUUACUGAACGAGUAAAGAGACUUGCCGGUAACGAGAUUGAAAUAGGUAUAGGGAUACCGACGAUCAAAUCUCGGGCAAGUAACAUAGCGAAGGACAAAGGUAAUGGUAUACGCUAUUAUAUGAAUCCUUGGCACAGAGGUUCAACCGAUAAGAUCUUCAUAGAAUACGUAGGAUCCAAUAUGGGCAUCCAGGUCCCGCUAUUGGAUAUUGAACGGGGAGUGUCUCAGGUCAUGUCUGCAUAGUUCUCGAACCCGCAGGGUCUGCACACUUAAGGUUCGGUGACGUUUCGGUAUAGUUGAGUUAUAGGUGUUGGUGAACGAAGGUUGUUCGGAGUCCCGGAUGAGAUCACGGACGUCAGGAGGGUUUCCGUAAUGGUCUGGUAACGAAGAUUGAUAUAUAGGAUGGUUUCAUUUGGUCUCUGGAAAGAUUUCGGGCAUUACCGACAGUGUACCGAGAGUGACGAAUGCAUUUCAGGUUUUCACCGGGAGGGGCCCACCCACCCGGGAGAGAGCCUAAUAGCCCAAGGGUGGCGCACCAGCCCUUAGUGGGCUGGUGAGGCCAGCCCAAGUGGGCUAUGGCGGCUAAGGAGAAAAAACCAAAGAGAAAGAAAAAAAGGGGAGGUGGGAAGGAAGAGGAGGAAUCCUCCUUCCCCAAACCGAAUCGGAGUUGGAGUCCUCCUCUCCUCUCUCGGUCGGCGCCCUAGGGGCUCCCUUGAGCCCCAAGGCUAGCCCCUCCCCUCCUCCUAUAUAUACUAGAGGUUUUAGGGUUUUUGAGACACAACUUUGCCACGUGCAACUCAAACCUCUACUUCAUAGUUCUUCCUCUAGAUCGGUUUUCUGCGUAGCUCAGGUGGAGCCCUGCAGGAAUAGAUCAUCACCAUCACCGGCGCACCAUCACGCUGCCGAAGAACUCAUCUACUUACCCGUCUAUCUUGUUGGAUCAAGAAGGCGGAGAUCGUCAUCGAGCUGUACGUGUGCUGAACGCGGAGGUGCCGUCCGUUCGGCGCUAGAUCGGAACGGAUCGUGGGACGACGGUGAUAUGAAUCACGAAGCUGUACCACUACAUCAACCGCGUUUCUUAACGCUUCCCGCUUAGCGAUCUACAAGGGUAUGUGGAUCCGAUCUCCCUCUCGUAGAUGAACAUCAUCAUGAUAGGUCUUCGUGUGCGUAGGGAUUUUUUUGUUUCCCAUGCAACGUUCCCCAACAGUGGCAUCAUGAGCUAGGUUCAUGCGUAGAUGUAAUUUCGAGUAGAACACAAAAAUUUUUGUGGGCGUUGAUGUUCAAUUUGCUGCCCUCCUUAGUCUUUUCUCGAUUCGACGGUAUUGUUGGAUUGAAGCGGCCCGGACCAACAUUACUCGUACGCUUACGAGAGACCGGUUUCAUCGACUAACAUGCAACUUGUUGCAUAAAGAUGACUGGCGGGUGCCUGUUUCUUCAACUUUAGUUGAAUUGGAUUUGACCGAGGCGGUCCUUGGAUAGAGGUUAAAUAGAAAUUUGCAUAUCUCCGUUGUGGUUUUUGCGUAAGUAAGAUGCGAUCAUACUAGAUACCAGUAGCAUCCACGUAAAACAUGCAACAACAAAUUAGAGGACGUCUAACUUGUUUUUGUAGGGUAUGCUUGUGAUGUGAUAUGGCCAAAGACAUGAUGUGAUAUAUUGGAUGUAUGAGAUGAUCAUGUUGUAAUAGUUAAUAUCGACUUACACGUCGAUGCUACGGCAACCGACAGGAGCCAUAGGGUUGUCUUCAAACUAACGUUUGUGUUUGCAGAUGCAUUUACUAUAUUGCUAGGUUGUAGCUUUAGUCGUAAUAGCAUAGAUAGCACGACAACCGCGAUGGCGGCACGAUGAUGGAGAUCAUGGUGUGGCGCCGGUGACGAUGAAGAUCAUGCCGAUGCUUUGGUGAUGGAGAUCAAGAAGCACAAGAUCAUGGCCAUAUCAUGUCACUUAUGAACUGCAUGUGAUGUUAAUCCUUUUAUGCACCUUAUCUUGCUUAGAAUGACGGUAGCAUUAUAAGGUGAUCCCUCACUAAAUUUCAAGAUAAAAUUGUGUUCUCCCCGACUGUGCACCGUUGCGACAGUUCAUUGUUUUGAGACACCACGUGAUGAUCGGGUGUGAUAGACUCAACGUUCACAUACAACGGGUGCAAAACAGUUGCACACGUAGAACACUCGGGUCAAACUUGACGAGCCUAGCAUGUGCAGACAUGGCGGGGGGGGGGGGGGGGCAAGAGACCGAAAUGUCGAGCAUGAAUCGUAUAGUUGAUAUGAUUAGCACAGAUAUGUUUACCACUGAAACUACACUCAACUCACGUGAUGAUCGGACUUGAGUUAGUGAAUUUGGAUCAUGCCACACUCAAGUAACUAGAGGGAUCUCUAUUUGAGUGGGAGUUUAUUAGUAAUUUGAUUAGUUAAACUCUAAUUGUCUUGAACAUAGUCUAAGUCCACUUUGCAAUAUUUUAUGUUGUAGAUCAAUGGCUCACGCAGUAGCAACCCUGAAUUUCAAUACGUUCCUGGAGAAAGCUAAGCUGAAAGAUGAUGGUAGCAACUUUGUAGACUGGGCUCGUAAUCUUAGGAUCAUCCUACAAGCUGGGAAAAAGAAUUAUGUCCUUGAUGCUGCACUAGGAGAUGAACCACCCACUACGUCUGAUCAAGAUGUUUUGAACGCUUGGCAAUCACAUAAGGAGGACUACUCAGUAGUUCAAUGUGCAGUCUUGUAUGGCUUGGAACCGGGACUUCAACGAUGCUUUAAACGUCAUGGAGCAUAUGAGAUGUUCCAGGAGUUGAAGUUUAUCUUUCAGAAGAACGCCCGGAUCGAGAGGUAUGGGACCUCCGAUAAAUUCUAUGCUUGCAAAAUGGAGGAGAAUUCGUCUGUUAGUGAACAUGUGCUCAAAAUGUCUGGGUAUUCAAAUCAUCUAGCCGAGUUGGGGAUUGAACUCCCGCAAGAGGCUAUCAUUGACAGAAUUGUUCAAUCACUGCCACCUAGCUAUAAGAGCUUUGUGUUGAACUAUAAUAUGCAAGGGAUGAACAAGUCACCCCGCGAGUUAUUCACGAUGCUGAAAGUCGCAGAGUCAGAACUCCGGAAAGAACAUCAAGUGUCGAUGGUCAAUAAGACCACUGGUUUCAAGAGAAACAACAAAGGCAAGAAGGGUAACUCCAAGAAGAGCGGCAAAACAGUUGCCAAUCCGACGAAGAAACCCAAGGCUGGACCUAAGCCGGAAACAUGGUUCUAUUAUUGCAAGGGGAUGGGUCACUGGAAGCGCAACUGCCCCAAGUAUUUGGCUGAUAAGAAGUCGGCCAACGCCAAACCAGGUAUAUGUGAUAUACAUGUUAUUGAUGUGUACUUAACCAACUCUCGUAGUAGUGCCUGGGUAUUUGAUACCGGUUCUGUUGCUCAUAUUUGCAACUCAAAGCAGGAACUGCGGAAUAAACGAAGGUUGGCGAAGGAUGAAGUGACGAUGCGCGUGGGAAAUGGUUCCAAGGUUGAUGCAAUCGCCGUCGGCACAGUCUCACUUCAGUUACCAUCAAGAUUAGUUAUGAACUUAAAUAAUUGUUAUUUAGUGCCUGCGUUAAGGAUGAACAUUAUAUCUGGAUCUUUUUUAUUACGAGACGGAUACUCAUUUAAGUCAGAGAAUAAUGGUUGUUCUAUUUUUAUGAGUAAUAUCUUUUAUGGUCAUGCACCCAAUGUGAGGGGUUUGUUCAUAUUGAAUGUUGAUUGUGAGUUAACAAUGAUAGCGCCACCUUUUUGUGGCACUUCUGCUUAGGUCAUAUUGGUGUAAAGCGCAUGAAGAAACUCCAUGCUGAUGGGCUUUUGGAGUCACUUUAUUUUGAAUCACUUGACAUGUGCGAACCAUGCCUCAUGGGAAAGAUGACUAAGACCCCGUUCUCUGGAACAAUGGAACAUGCAAGUGACUUGUUGGAGAUCAUACAUAAUGAUGUGUGCGGUCCAAUGAGUGUGGAGGCGCGUGGCGGAUAUCGUUAUUUUCUCACCUUCACUGAUGAUUUGAGUAGGUAUGGAUAUAUCUACUUGAUGAAGCACAAGUCUGAAAUGUUUGAAAAGUUCAAGCAAUUUCAGAGUGAAGUGAAAAUCAUCGUAACAAGAAUAUCAAGUUCCUACGAUCUGAUCGAGGGGGUGAGUAUCUGAGUUUCGAGUUCGAUGCUCACUUAAGACAAUGUGGAAUCGUUUCACUGUUGACACUUCCUAGAACACCACAGUGUAAUGGUGUGUCCGAACGUCAUAAUCGUACUUUGUUAGAUAUGGUGCGAUCUAUGAUGUCUCUUACCGAUUUGCCAUUAUCGUUUUGGGGUUAUGCAUUAGAGACAGCUGCAUUCACUUUAAAUAGGGCACCAUCAAAAUCCGUUGAGAUGACACCAUAUGAGCUAUGGCAUGGCAAGAGGCCAAAGUUGUCGUUUCUUAAAGUUUGGGGAUGCGAUGCUUAUGUCAAAAAGCUUUAGCCUGAAAAGUUGGAACCCAAAGCGGAAACGUGUUUCUUCAUAGGUUACCCAAAAGAGACAGUUGCGUACACCUUCUAUCUCAGAUCCGAGGGCAAAGUGUUUGUUGCUAAGAAUGGAUCUUUUCUUGAGAAGGAGUUUCUCUCGAAAGAAUUGAGUGGGAGGAAGAUAUAACUUGAUGAGGUUGUGGAACCUUUGCUCCCUCUAGAUGGUGGCGUAGGGCAGAGAGAAAUCUCUGUCGAGGCAACACCGGUUGAGGAAGAAGCUAAUGAUGAUGAUCAUGAAGCUUUGGAUCAAGUUACUAUCGGACCUCGCAGGUCGACAAGAUCACGUACUGCUCCUGAGUGGUACAGGAAUCAUGUCUUAUCGAUCAUGUUGUUAGACAACAAUGAACCUGUGAAUUAUGAAGAAGCAAUGGUGGGCCCGGAUUCCAACGAAUGGCUGGAGGCCAUGAAGUCCGAGAUAGGAUCUAUGUAUGAAAACAAAGUAUGGACUUUGGAAGUAUUACCUGAAGGUCAUAAGGCUAUUCAGAACAAAUGGAUCUUUAAGAAGAAGACGAACGCGGACGGUAAUGUGACCGUUUAUAAAGCUCGACUUGUGGCAAAGGGUUUUUCACAAGUUCAAGGAGUUGACUACGAUGAGACGUUCUCACUGGUAGAAAUGCUUAAGUCCGUCCGAAUCAUGUUAGCAAUAGCUGCAUUUUUCGAUUAUGAAAUCUGGCAGAUGGAUGUCAAAACGGCGUUCCUUAAUGGUUUUCUUAAGGAAGAGUUGUAUAUGAUGCAACCCGAAGGUUUUGUCGAUCCAAAGAAUGCUAACAAAGUACGCAAGCUCCAGCGAUCCAUUUAUGGACUGGUGCAAGCAUCUCGGAGUUGGAAUAAGUGCUUUGAUGAGGUGAUGAAGUGUAAGGACUAAGAUGCGGUCCUUUUCGGUUUAGGGGAACGAGGCCCCAAAGAGGAAAGAAGCGCAUCUAAGCGUUUCGCAAACACGGUAACAUAGCACAUACAUAAUAAUAGAAUGACAAUUAGGGAUUCAACUGCCAUAUCAUAAAUAAUAUUAGAGUUUACAUCACGCAUCCAAGCAAGGUAGUUCCGCUAUGGACUACAAAACAUGAGAAAUGACUAUGUUACCCUGCAUGCUUGCCCACGAUCACGACCACGCCUCAGUCUUUUGGACAGUUCACGUACAGGCGGUCGUUCUCCUCAUCGUACUGCCACGCCAGCUACGUGUCGUCGGGAUCACCUGUCUCGGGGGUACCUGAACCUAUUGGUGCGUUGAAGUAAUAUGUGAGCCACGGGGACUCAACAAUCUAUGACCUCGGUGCUAGAACUAGUCAAGUUAAUAGGUAAGGAAGGUGGAGUAUUUAGGUUGCAACAUCCUAAGCAUAUAUGGUGGCUAACUUACGUAGAGCAAGUAUUGAAGAUGGUCUAUACUAGCAAUCGAUGAUUAGCUGAUCACUAAGUGAUCCUGAACACCUACUUAUGUCAAUCAUAACCCCACCGUGUUCCCGAUCGAAGAGAAGUCUUCGAAGGGGACAAUCACGGUUACACAAACAGUUGGCAAUUUUAUUAGCUUAUGUUUAAGUUAUCUAUAAGCGGAUGUUAACAAAUAUUCCAAGUUGCCACAUAACCGCGGGCACGACUUUCCGAAAUAUUAAACCCUGCAGGCGUGCUCCAACUAGUCCAUCACAAAUGGUCACGGGCCGCAAAGUAAUCCUCUAUCACGAAUCUCGUGAUCUCGUCGGAUUCCUUAGAGGAAAACCUCAACUCUGGGGAGAACCAAAGCUUCACCGGGAUUCCUAUACACAAGAUAUAUCGCUAAGGUAAGACAAGAUUAGCAGGACCUCCCGUCGUGUCGACGACCCCGAUAAGAGCCGCGUAUCUCAGUCUCAGGACACGACGGAUGAGCUACGCGCACGAUGGCCUGAUAGAAAUCACUCAAGUUGCCCUGAGUUGGCCCCGAACAGUGCUCAUUUUGGACCAACACUCAUGAGGAGCACUGGCCCGGGUUGUUGAUUAACUCCUCGGGGUGAUCAUUCCCUAUGCAGAUUAUUAUUAAGUGAUUAGCAAAUUAACACCAAUGUUGGGUCCCUCCGGACAAGUCUUAACACUACACGAUUUAUCAAGGGGGUCCCCAUAACAACCCCGAACGUGUUAGGAGCGAACAGUUAUGGAAUCAAACACUCGUAGCCGGAAACUAUGGCGGCAAUAACGGAACAAAACACCCGGAAAAAGGCUAAGCCUUCCGUUAUUUACCAAGUAUAUAGGUGCAUUAAUUAAAUAAUAGAUUAACAUAAUGAUAUCAACUGAUGUUAUCACAUGAGACAAAGCACCUGCAACUAGCAACGCUGACAUUAGUAGCUGAGCAAAGCCUACUUAGCCGUUCAAGAUUUGCUAGGAGGGGAAAGUGUUUGGUUUUCAUGGCAAUAUUCAGGAGGCAAUUAUUUCAGUGGUAGGCAGCGAGCAUAUGACAAGGAAACGUGAAUCUAGCAUAACAAGUCUAGAGAUGGAAUCAAGAUCAUAUCAUCUUGCGUGUGAUGUCCUCAGCUUGGAAUUGCUCUGGUUCGUCCUGCACGUACUCUCCCGGAUCCACGUACUCAUUCUCUGAUCCCGGUGCUACCCAACAUAAAAAUAACAUCCAAUGAAUAACAACACUUCAAGAUGCAACAAGCACAUGAUGCAUGAGAUGAAAAUGAACAUGCACCUCUAUUGUACUCACUUGAACAUGCUUGAGAAGGAGAUACAAGUUCCUGGACAAAACUGCACUCUAAGCUAUCUUGUCAUGUAUGAGGAUGACAUGAACAGAAGCGUCACGCGAAAAUGAUGCAAAAACAUAUAAAGAACGUUACGUUCGGAGCUACGGAUCAACCGGAAACAAUGAAACAAGAAAUAGAGUCCUACGUGUCAAAUUCGUCACCACACACUCCAAUGGCAUACUUCUGCUAUUCCCAGGUUGCCAUAUCACAAAACAAACAAGAAUGGAUGGGGUGGUGCAAAGAAUACCACCACACCAUCAACUAUGCACUCCCAAGCAUCAAACAUCAAAACUAUACAAUCUGCCAUAAGCAACAUCAUAGCAGUUUGAGAGCUACAUGCAAAGCACCUACAGCUGCCCAAAUAUGCCAAAUAGGAUAUGUGGCAGAAGCUAUCCAAGAGUACUAGAAGCAUGAGCAAAAAUCUAAUUCGAAGGAGUUUCAUACGGAAAGUUACACAGCUGCUAACUUGGCCAAAAAUAUUAGUUUCCAGGGACUUAGUGAAAAUCUCAGAUUCUCACUAGCUGUUUAUGCUCUGAAGCAUUUUGACAGCACCCAAAACAAUAUCUACAGGAUUCCAAAUGGAAUGAAAAUUGACAGAUAGCUAUACAAAUACAAAAUCUACAACUUCCCAGUUGAUAGCUAGGGCUGAUUCCCAACACAUGGUCUUCUACAAGCACAACAACAGGAGAAGAAAAUAUAAGCAGAUUCCCAGACUUAGUGAAAAUCUGUGAUUUUCACUAAACUGGAAUUUUUAGUCACAUGCCUACUUUGACUAGGCACAACUUGCACACAUGAACUCCUAAGCAUGAAACAAAACCAACAUGUGGUAGAAGGGUUCACCCUCUACCGCCACAACAAAGAAUCAACCUCUUGGGCUCAUCACAUCACAUGGAACCAAGCUCUAAACAUGGAACAAAACUGAAAUAUGACAUUCCCAGAAAGUGUUCCAAAGGCAAAACUUACUUCACCAAUGGAUUCAUGGGAUGAUUCUACCCCAAAAACAUAUAUAAUACAUAUGCACUUGCAUAGAAUAAUUGGGCACAAGGCUAAGAAGAAGAUAAGCAUGGAUUCACAAGGUGUGAAUAGUGCAUCAUCACAUGUGCUAUUCAGUAAAACAACACCUACAUAUCCACUUGCACACUAUCAACACUACAAUGGUGCACAUGAGGGUUAUCCCUCAUGCUCAUGUGCCUUAGCAAACCACCACACACACACACAAGCAUCAAGCACAACAUAAUAUAAACACCUACACAUGCUAAUGGGAACACCCACACUAGAUUACACCACAACAUCUAUACACCUUCACAUAUAAACAUGCUCAUGUGCUCAUCAAGGCACUCCAUGCCUUGAGCAUGUGUGGGACACACACACACCAUCUCACACAACAACACAAGAGCACCUACAUAUACACAAGGUAGGUGAGGGCGGAAACCCACACACACACUCACAUCACAUACUUGCACAAGAUAGGACAUAAGNNNNNNNNNNNNNNNNNNNNNNNNNNUGCAUAUCUAUAGCCUAGUGCAACACACAACUAAACACACCCACACAUACAUGUCAUCUAGCUCACAAUGCACAUACAUACAUAUCACUACACAUGCAUAUUUACAUAGCUAGAGAAAUACUAGGAACCUGCUAGAAUAAAUCCAGCAACCAAAACUUGCCUCACAAGCAUGCUGCAGUACAAUAUAGCAAGCAAACAAAACAAACAGGGAAGAAAUGCACAAAAAAAGGACAGGGGAGGGAUCGAACCCUAGAGCCCCUGAUCACCACCUGCACCUCAUACCACUGCGCUAUGGAACAGUCACUUGACAGAUAAGGAAAGCCUAGCAGGAUAAGGUGAUACACGCUGCUCUGUUACUGUGCCGAGAGAAAAAUAGCACAAAAAGGGGGGUUUGGCGCCGCGGGGAUUCGAUCCCACAACCACCUGAUCCACAACAAACACUGCACCACUAUGCCGCGCUACUAUACUUGACAGAGAGGAGGAACUCUCCAAGGUAAGACAUCGAAGCCGGCCUGCUCUGCUACUCACAGAGACGCCGACGGCAGCAAGCCACCGGAGCAAACCUACUUGCUCUACUGCUGCUCUACGCGCGGGGAUCCAUCUACACUACAACUACUACGCUGUUGGAGGCCCCGAGCCACGACGAGCCAAGCACAACAACACAAGAACGACACACCACCUGCACCUGCCCUCGUGCUCUUCUCUGAACAGAGAGGCACGACCUCGAUCUCCUACGCGCAACUACCGAGGAAGAAAAGAGGAAGAUACUAGCUCUCACCUAGGGGAAGGAGGAGAGGUUGCCGAUCGGGGAAGAGGCCUGCCUGGAGAAGAACGAAGACGACCUGAAGCGCCUGACGAAGAACUCUGCAGAACCAAAGCAGGGAGGAACAGGCCGCCGGGAACACGCCGUUGACGUGGUCCUGCCCGUCGCUGUGGUCGCGCUUUGACCUCAACAACAACGGGAAUGGAACGCGGGGCCUACCCCCGAGCCCCCUGACAUGAUGGCCGACACCGAAGGCGGCGGAUGCACGGGAUCGACGACGGCGCACUACUGCCCUCUAUGUGUACCUGGAUCUACAGGAGCUUACCUUGGGGAAGGAGGAGAAGGAUGGAGACGGCAGCGCUAGAUGGGGGAAGCAUGGAACCCUAGGGCAAGGGGGCACGAACGCCGAGGGUUAUAAGAGGGCCUCGACGUCUGUGAGCCCUCACGGCAUGCUCGCUCCCUCUCUGCUGCGUGACGGAAAGCGACGCACGGGGAGACGCCGUCUGAAGAAGGAGAAGGAACGCGUGCCUGGGCUGCCGCGGGGGGGGGGGAGAGAAGCUAGGCCUGCUAGUGGGAGGAGGCCCACUAGUUGGCGCCAGGUAGAAGGAAAUAAACCCAUGGGGUUUAUUAAUUAAGCCAAGACCAGACAAACAAAACAAAUGCACAUGCUAAACAGAUAAAGCUAAAAUUAAAUCAAAAAUACCCCUGGUCAUAAGAAAUUAUGACCUAUUUAAAUAAAAUAGAAAAGAAAUAUUUGGAGCAAUUAAAUAUUUACAAAACAACAUUUAUAUGAUAUGUUUUGGGAAUAUUUGCACCUUUAAAAUAUAGAUUCAAAACAACCAAUUCACAUCUUCACAUCCACCACAAAGUAUACUAAAUCAUGGACAUUUUUUAAAACAAGGAUGGGACAAGUGAAGCUUGACCUUGAGAUAAAUAAAGAGGAAGAUGGUUUUGAAGCCUAUGCAAACCACAUAGUUUCCUACUAGCAAUUGCACCACUCCAUUACUCACAUACACUAUCAUCACAUGACAUAUUCAACACACCACAUACCCACAUGGAUUCACAAAGGCACAAACACAAGACAUGGGUGAAUGAUAGAUGCAUGCAAGCAAAGGAAGAACAAAACAAUGUGACAUCACAUGAAAUCAUAUGCAUUGAGCUCUCAUAUCAAUGACAAGGUGGACCCACAUAGAGAAGGUUCCAGAUAUGGCAAGAUACACUCUUGGGGCAUUACAUGAAGGCAUUUGGGUUUAUACAAGUUAUUGGAGAAUCUUGUAUUUACAAGAGAGUGAGUGGGAGCUUUGUAGAGUUUCUUAUAUUAUAUGUGGAUGACAUAUUGCUGAUUGGAAAUAAUGUGGAGUUUUUAGAGAGCGUAAAGGAUUACUUGAACAAAUGUUUUUCAAUGAAAGACCUAGGAGAAGCUGCUUACAUAUUAGGCAUUAAUAUCUAUAGGGAUAGAUCGAGGUGCCUAAUAGGACUUUGACAAAGCACAUACCUUGAUAAAGUUUUGAAGAAGUUCAAAACGGAGCAGUCCAAGAAGGGGUUCUUGCCAGUGUUACAAGGUAUAAAGUUGAGUAAGACUCAGUGUCCGGUAACCGCGGAAGAUAGAGAAAAGAUGAGUAGCGUCCCCUAUGCUUCAACCAUCGGGUCUAUCUUGUAUGCAAUGUUAUGCACAAGACCGGACGUCAGCCUGGACAUAAGUAUGGCACGCAGGUUUCAAAGUAAUCCAGGAGUGGAUCACUGGACGACGGUCAAGAAUAUUCUGAAAUACCUGAAAAGGACUAAGGAAAUUUUUCUCGUUUAUGGAGGUGACGAAGAACUCGUCGUAAAGGGUUACGUCGAUGCAAGCUUUCACAUUGAUCCGGAUGACUCUAAGUCUCAAUCCGGAUACAUAUUUGUUCUUAAUGAGGGUGCGGUAAGCUGGUGCAGUUCCUAGCAAAGCGUCGUAGCAGAUUCUACAUGUCAAGUGGAGUACAUGGCUUCCUCGAAGGCAGCUAAGGAGGGUGUCUCGAUGAAGCAAUUCAUGACGGAUUUUGGAGUUGUGUCGAGUGCACUAAAUCCAAUAACUCUGUUCUGUGACAACACUGGUGCCAUUGCUCUAGCCAAGGAACCAAGGUUUCACAAGAAGACCACACACAUCAAAGGACGCUUGAUACGUCUCCAACGUAUCUAUAAUUUUUGAUGGUUCCAUGCUAUUAUAUUGUCUUCUUUGGAUGUUUUGCAUGCCUUUUAUAUAUUUUUUGGGACUAACUUAUUAACUCAGUGCCAAGUGGUAGUUCCUGUUUUUUCCAUGUUUUUGACCCUUUUUCAGACGGAGUCCAAAUGGAAUGAAACUUUACGAUGAUUUUUUUGGACCAAAAGAUACCCCCAAAGCUUUGGAAGAAGGCCAGAAGAGCCACGAGGGAGUCACAAGCCCAUGUUAUGCGGCCUACCCCCCUGGUCGCACCGUGCAGGCUUCUGACCUCCUUGUGGGCCCAACUGACUCAAUUCCACCGCCAUAAAUUCCUAUAAAUUCAGAAACCCCCAGAAAGAAACCUAGAUCGGGAGUUCCGCCGCCGCAAGCCUCUGUAGCCACCAAAAACCAAUCUGGAGCCCGUUCCGGCACCCUGCCGAAGGGGGAAUCCAUCUCCAGUGGCCAUCUUCAUCAUCCCGGCGAUCUCCAUGACGAGGAGGGAGUAGUUCUCCCUCGGGGCUGAGGGUAUGUACCAGUAGCUAUGUGUUUGAUCUCUCUCUCUCUCGUGUUCUUGAGAUGUCUUGAUCUCGAUGUACCGUGGGCUUUGCUACUAUAGUUGGAUCUUACGAUGUUCUUCCCCCUCUCCCUUCUUGUAAUGAAUCGAGUUUCCCCUUUGGAGUUAUCUUAUCGGUUUGAGUCUUUGAGAGCACUUGAUGUAUGUCUUGAACCUGUCUAUCUACUUUGAUCAACCUGCGGGUUUGUGACAAUUGGGAACCUAUGCAUAUGGUUGGCACACGUGGAUUCAUGUGAGUACUCGAUGUAUGUUUUGGUGAUCAACUUGUGGGUUCGUGACAUUGGGAACCUAUGCAUAGGGGUUGGCACACGUUUUGACUCUCCGGUAGAAACUUUGGGGCACUCUUUGAAGUUCUAUGUGUUGCUUGAAUAGAUGAUUCUGAGAUUGUGUGAUGCAUAUCGUAUAAUCAUGCACACGGAUACUUGAGGUGACAAUGGAGUAUUGAUACGUCCAUUUUGCAUCAUGCUUUCAUGUUGAUAUUUAUUGCUUUUUGGGCUGUUAUAUUACUUGUGGUACCAUAUUUAUGCCUUUUCUCUCUUAUUUUGCAAGGUUUAUUUGAAGAGGGAGAAUUCAGGCAGCUGGAAUUCUGGACUGGAAAAGGAGCAAAUCCUAGUCCACUAUUCUGCACAUCUCCAAAUGCCCUAAAAAGUUACGUGGAUUUUUUUGGGAUUAUAUAAAAAAUAUGGGGCGAAAGAACUACGGGAGGGGGGCUACCAGGGCGCCACAAGCCCUGACACCGCCACCCCCUGGUGGCGGAGUGGGGGCUUGCGGGUUCCCUGACGGCCCACUAGCCCCCCUCUUUUGCUAUAUGAAGCGUCCUGGUCCAGAAAAAAAUCAAUUAGGAGCUUUUUCGUGGUUUCGCCGCCGCCAUGAGGCGGAACUUGAGAAGAUCCAAUCUAGAGCUCCGGCAGGACGAUCCUGCCUGGGAAACUUCCCUCCCGGAGGGGGAAAUCGUCGCCAUUGUCAUCACCAACACUCCUCUAAUCGGAGGGGAUGCAUCUUCAUCAACAUCUUCAUCAGCACCAUCUCCUCUCCAAUCCCUAGUUCAUCUCUUGUAACCAAUCUUCGUCUCGCUACUCCGAUUGGUACUUGUAAGGUUUCUAGUAGUGUUGAUUACUCUUUGUAGUUGAUGCUAGUUGGAUUACUUGGUGGAAGAGUUUAUGUUCAGAUCCUUGAUGCUAUUCAUUACACCUCUGAUCAUGAUUAUGAUUAUGUUUUGUGAGUAGUUACUUUUGUUCCUGAGGACAUGGGAUAAGUCAUGUUAAUAAUAGUCAUGUGAAUUUGAUAUUCGUUCGGUAUUUUGAUAUGUUGUAUGUUGUCUUUUCCUCUAGUGGUGUUAUGUGAACGUCGAUUACAUAACACUUCACACCAUAUUUGGGCCUAGAGGAAAGCAUUAGGAAGUAGUAAGUAGAUGAUGGGUUGCUGGAGUGACAGAAGCUUAAACCCCAGUCUAUGCGUUGCUUCGUGAGGGGCUGAUUUGGAUCCACUAGUUUAAUGCUAUGGUUAGACUUUGUAUUAAUUAUUUUUUUGGAGUUGCAGAUGCUUGCGAGAGAGGUUAAUCAUAAGUGGGAUGCUUGUCCAAGUAAGGGCAGUACCCAAGCGCCGGUCCACCCACAUAUCAAACUAUCAAAGUAACGAACGCGAAUCAUAUGAACAUGAUGAAACUAGCAUGACAGAAAUUCCCGUGUGUCCUCGGGAGUCUUUUUCCUCCUAUAAGACUUUGUUCAGGCUUGUCCCUUGCUACAAAAGGGAUUGGGCCACUUGCUGCACCUUUGCUACUACUUGUUACUUGUUACUUUUUGCUCGCUACAUUUGACCUCACUACACCAUCACUUGUUACCGCUACUUUCAGUGCUUGCAAUUAUUACCUUGCUGAAAUCCGCUUAUCAGAGCCUUCUGCUCCUCGUUGGGUUCGACACUCUUACUUAUCGAAAGGACUACGAUUGAUCCCCUAUACUUGUGGGUCAUCGAGACUCUUUUCUGGCGCCGUUGCCGGGGAGUGAAGUGCCUUUGGUAAGUGGAAAUUGGUAAGGAAACAUUUUUAUAUUGUGCUGAAAUUUAUUGUCACUUGUCACUAUGGAAACUGUUCCUUUGAGGAGUUUGUUCGUGGUAUAUUCACCACGAACGGAAGCACGAGGAGUUUCUCCUCAACCUGAGGUACCUACUGAAAAUAUCUUUUAUGAAAUUCCUUCGGGUAUGCUUGAGAAACUGCUGGCUAAUCCUUUCACAGGAGAUGGAUCUUCACAUCCAGACUUGCAUCUGAUCUUUGUAGAUGAAGUUUGUGGUUUAUUUAAGCUUGCAGGUUUGCCCGAGGAUGUGGUAAAGAAGAAAGUCUUUCCUUUAUCUUUGAAGGAUAAGGCAUUGACAUGGUAUAUGCUAUGUGAUGAUACUGGAUCAUGGGGCUACAAUCGGUUGAAAUUGGAAUUUCAUCAAAAGUUCUAUCCUAUGCAUUUAGUACAUCGUGAUCGGAACUUUAUUUAUAACUUUUGGCCUCGUGACAGGGAAAGCAUAGCUCAAGCUUGGGGGAGGCUUAAAUCAAUGCUAUAUUCAUGCCCCAAUCAUGAGCUCUCGAGAGAAAUCAUCACUCAAAACUUUUAUGCUCGAUUUUCUCAUGAAGAUGUACCAUGCUUGACACUUCUUGUGCCGGUUCUUUUAUGAAGAAGGAUAUUGAUCACAAGUGGAAUUUAUUGGAGAGAAUCAAACGCAAUUCUGAAGAUUGGGAGCUGGAGGAAGGUAAGGAGUCAAGUAUGAAUUUCCAGUUUGAUUGCGUUAAAUCUUUUGUUGAGACAAACACUUCUAGAGAUUUUAGCACAAAGUAUGGACUUGAGUCUGAGAUAGUAGCUUCUCUAUGUGAAUAUUUUGCUGCUCAUGUUGAUCUUCCCAAAGAGAAGUGGUUUAAAUAUCAUCCUCCUGUAGAAAGCAACAUAGCUAAAACCAAUCUAGUUGAGGAGAAAGUCAUUGCUUUUAGUGAUCAUGUUGUUCCUUGUGCUUACACUGAGAAACCACCAUACCCUCCUAGGAUAAAGGAUUAUUCUAAAGCUCCGAUGAUACGUAGGGGUUACAUUAGACCACUUGCACCCCCUGAGGAGAUUAGAGUUGAACCUAGUGUUGCUAUUAUCAAAGAUCUCUUAGCCGAAGACAUAAAUGGGCAUGUUAUCAAAUUCUGCGAGGACUCUGCUAGAAUUGCUAAACCUCACGCGAAAGACAAACACGGACCUGUAGUUGGCCUGCCCGUUGUUUCUGUUAAGAUAGGAGAUCACUGUUACCAUGGUUUAUGUGAUAUGGGAGCUAGUGUUAGUGCAAUACCCCGUUCUAUAUAUGAUGAAAUCAAAGAUGAGAUUGCACCUGCUGAGUUAGAACCCAUUGAUGUUACUAUUACGCUAGCUAAUAGAGACACUAUCUGCCCUCUGGGAAUUGUGAGAGACGUAGAAGUCCUAUGUGGUAAGACGAAGUAUCCUACUGAUUUCCUCGUCCUUGGUACUGCACAAGAUAGCUUUUGUCCCAUCAUAUUUGGUAGACCCUUUCUCAACACUAUCAACGCUCACAUUGAUUGCAUUAAGCAGACUGUCACAGUUAGUUUCGAGGGUGUGUCUCAUGAAUUUAACUUCUCCAAGUUUGGAAGACAACCCCAUGAAAGAGAGUCGUCCGGUAGGGAUGAAAUCAUUGCUCUUGCCUCUAUUGCCGUACCUCCUACAGAUCCUUUAGAGCAAUAUCUGCUUGAGCAUGAAAAUGAUAUGCAUAUGGAGGAGAGAGAUGAGAUAGAUAAAAUUGUCUUAGAACAAUAUCCUAUUCUCAAGAAUAAUCUGCCUGUUGAACUGCUUGGGGAUCCUCCCCCACCAAAGGGUGAUCCUGUGUUCGAGCUUAAAUAGUUGCCUGAUACUCUUAAGUAUGCCUAUCUUGAUGAGAAGGAGAUAUAUCCUGUCAUUAUUAGUGCUCUCCUCUCAGAGCAUGAAGAGAAGAAGUUACUAAGAACUCUGAGGAAGCACCGCGCUGCUAUUGGAUAUACUCUUGAUGAUCUUAAGGGUAUUAGUCCUACUCUAUGUCAGCACAAGAUUAAAACCGAUCCUGACUUUAAACCAGUUGCUGAUCAUCAAAGGAGAUUAAAUCCUAAGAUGAAAGAGGUCGUUAGAAAAGAAAUAUUAAAGCUUCUGGAAGCAGGAAUCAUUUAUCCUGUUGCUCAUAGUGAUUGGGUAAGUCCAGUACAUUGCGUACCUAAGAAGGGAGGUAUCACCGUCGUUCCUAAUGAUAAGGAUGAACUAAUCCCACAAAGGAUUAUUACCAGCUAUAGAAUGGUGAUAGACUUCCGGAAACUGAACAAGGCAACCAGGGAAGAUCAUUAUCCUUUGUCGUUCAUCAACCAAAUGCUAGAAAGGCUAUCAAAGCACACACACUUCUGCUUUCUAGACGGUUAUUCAGGUUUCUCGCAAAUACCAGUUGCACAAUCUGAUCAAGAGAAAACCACUUUCACCUGCCCUUUCAGUACCUUUGCCUAUAGACGUAUGCCUUUUGGCUUAUGUAAUGCACCCGCCACCUUCCAAAGAUGUAUGAUGGCUAUAUUCUCUGACUUUUGUGAAAAGAUCGUCGAGGUUUUCAUGGAUGACUUCUCUGUUUAUGGGUCCUCCUUUGAUGAUUGCCUCAGCAACCUUGAUCGAGUCUUACAGAGAUGCGAAGAAACCAACCUCGUCUUGAAUUGGGAGAAGUGCCACUUUAUGGUUAAUGAAGGUAUCGUCUUAGGACACAAAAUUUCUGAGAGAGGCAUUGAAGUUGAUAAGGCUAAGGUUGAUGCAAUUGAGAAAAUGCCUUGCCCCACAGAUAUAAGAGGUAUACGAAGUUUCCUAGGUCAUGCUUGUUUCUAUAGAAGGUUCAUUAAAGACUUCUCUAAGAUUUCUAGGCCUCUUACCAACCUCUUGCAGAAGGAUGUUCCUUUUGUUUUUUAUGAGGAUUGUGAGGAAGCUUUCGAAAUACUUAAGAAGGCUUUGAUAACCGCACCUAUUGUUCAACCACCUGACUGGAACUUGACCUUGGAAAUCAUGUGUGACGCUAGUGAUUAUGCUGUUGGUACUGUUCUAGGACAAAGAGUUGAUAAGAAGUUGAAUGUCAUUCACUACCCUAGUAAAACUCUAGACAGUGCCCAAAGAAACUAUGCCACUACGGAGAAGGAAUUUUUAGCAGUCGUGUUUGCAUGCGAAAAGUUGAGAUCUUAUAUAGUUGACUCCAAAGUUACUAUUCACUCUGAUCAUGCUGCUAUUAAGUACCUUAUGGAGAAGAAGGACGCUAAGCCUAGGCUUAUCAGAUGGGUUCUCCUGCUACAGGAAUUUGAUUUGCACGUCGUUGACCGAAAGGGUGCUGAUAACCCUGUAGCAGAUAACUUGUCUAGGCUAGAGAAUGUCCUUGAUGACCCACUACCUAUUGAUGACAACUUUCUUGAUGAGCAAUUAAAUGUCAUCCGCACUUCACUUAGUGCAUCGUGGUAUGCCGAUUAUGCAAACUAUAUCGUAGCCAAAUACAUACCACCCAGUUUCACCUAUCAGCAAAAGCAGAAAUUCUUCUUUGAUUUGAGACACUACUUUUGGGAUGAUCAUCACCUUUAUAAGGAAGGAGUAGAUGGUGUUAUUAGACGUUGUGUGCCUGAACAUGAACAGGGACAAAUCCUGCAGAUGUGUCAUUUCGAAGCCUACGAAGGACACCAUGCUGGAGAUAGAACUGCCCAUAAGGUAUUGCAAACAGGUUUCUAUUGGCCCACUCUCUUCAAGGAUGCUCGUAGGUUUGUCUUGUCUUGUGACGAAUGCCAAAGAAUAGGGAACAUCAGUAAGCGUCGGGAAAUGCCUAUGAACUACUCACUUGUCAUUGAACCAUUUGAUGUCUGGGGCUUUGAUUAUAUGGGACCCUUCCCGAGUUCCAAUGGGUACACUCACAUCUUAGUUGCUGUGUAUUACGUUACUAAGUGGGUAGAAGCUAUCCCCACUAAAAAUGCUGAUCACCACACCUCUAUUAAGAUGCUUAAAGAAGUCAUUUUCCCAAGAUUUGGAGUCCCUAGGUACUUGAUGACUGAUGGCGGUUCACACUUCAUUCAUGGUGUUUUCCACAAGAUGAUAGCUAAGUAUGAUGUCAACCAUAGAGUUGCAUCUCCUUAUAAUCCUUAGUCUAGUGGUCAAGUUGAGUUGAGUAAUAGGGAGAUCAAGUUGAUCUUACAAAAGAUCGUCAACAGAUCUCGAAAGAACUGGUCUAGCAAACUCGACGAUGCACUAUGGGCUUAUAGGACUGCUUAUAAGAAUCCCAUGGGCAUGUCACCGUAUAAAAUGGUUUACGGUAAGGCCUGUCAUUUACCUCUUGAGCUGGAACACAAAGCUUAUUGGGCAAUCAAAGAGCUCAAGUUUGAUUUCAAACUUGCCGGUGAGAAGCGGUUGUUUGAUAUCAUCUCGUUAGAUGAAUGGAGAACCCAGGCAUAUGAGAAUGCCAAGUUGUUCAAGGAAAAGGUUAAGAGAUGGCACGACAAACGAAUACAGAAACGAGAGUUCAAUGUAGGUGAUUAUGUCUUGCUAUACAAUUCUCGUUUGAGAUUCUUUGCAGGCAAGCUUCUCUCUAAAUGGGAAGGUCCCUAUGUUAUCGAGGAAGUAUAUCGUUCCGGUGCCAUCAAAAUCGAUAACACGGAAGGAAAUUUUCCUAGAGUGGUAAAUGGGCAAAGAAUCAAGCAUUACAUCUCUGGUACUCCCAUAAAUGUUGAGACCAAUAUCAUCAAUGUCAUAACUCCAUAGGAGUACAUAAGGGAUGUUUAUCAGCAUGUUUCAGACCUUGAAAACGAAGAUGUAUCUGUUUUGGUAAGAAAUUGGACUCCGAUACUUUUCCAAUAGGAAAUUUCUUCCGUUUUGGAAUUUUUGGAAAAUUAGAAAAAUAAAAAGCAGUCUGUAGAGCGAACGAGGCGGGCACAAGCCCUGCCACCGCCCCUACCCCCUGGUGGCGGAGGGCAAGCUUGUGGGCACCUCAUGUGCCUCCCGGACUCCGUUUUCUUGCGGAGGACUCCUUCUGGCCCAGAAAAAAAUCAAUAUAUAGUCGCCCGAAGGUUUUGAUCUCCGUAUCGCGUAGUUUUCCUCUGUUUUCGUUUAAAGCUUGUUGUCUGCCGCAUAUUUAGAGCAAAGAUGUCUCAGGAAUCUGUUGGGGAGAAUGAUCUUCACCAAGUUCAUGAGGAAGUAGAUGCUGAUAUGAAAAGAGUAGAAGUCACGGAAUCUAGGGACCAAGCUACGGAGAAAACCCAAGCUAGGGAGGAAGUUCAACCUAUGUUCAACAUUGAAGACAUGGAAGGAGUAUAUUUUCUCCAACCCUUCCUCCACGUGCUGUCUCCAUCCUUGAUUGAACUCUUGAGGUUUUGCGAAACAACUCGUGCUCGCAAUAUUUCUCUUUCUCGUGAAGUUGUUUUGCUGGAAAACCAUGUCACAUAUCUCAAAGGUAUAAAUCAAAGAUUGAUAGCUCUCUUGGAAUCAAAGGCGAUAACUCCACCACCAUCACCACUAAAGGAAGACAACUAAGCAUUGGUAUGGGCAAUCCCCUUGGCUUCUGCCAAGCUUGGGGGAGUUGCCCUGGUAUCGUAUCACCUUUAUAUCUUUUGCUUUUACCUUUGUUUUAGUUCUUUCCUUUUCAGUUUUUAUUUCUUCUCUUAGAGGAAUAAGUCUUGUGUUUUUAGUUUGAGUCUUUUGCUUUUGUCUCUCUUCCGAUGUAUUUGAGCUCGCGAGCUAUAUAAUAAAGAGUAUCUUAGUCAAGGGCUUUGCUUUGUGCCUUGAUCAAAAGUAUGAAAAGAACGAUAGCAUGAAAGAUCAUGAGACGAUCUUAUGGAAAGUGAUAACUUCACUUGUGACACGUAUGAUGAUUGAAACUUGUUGAGAAUAAAUCAACAUAUACCUUAGUCAUUGUUGUAAUUAAUAAGAAGUAAUAACGAAAGAGAGGUUCACAUAUAAUAUAUCAUCUUAGACACUUUUUUACAAUUGUGAGCACUCACCAAACUAUUACAUGCUUAGGAGCAGAUGUUGGACAAGGAAGACAACAUAAUGAAUUGUGUUUGCUUGGUUCCAAACAAUGUUAUAUGAUUAGAGAUCCCUUAGCAUGUGACGAUUGCUUCCACCUUAUAUUAGCCAAAACUCCCGCACCAAGUAGAGAUACUACUUGUGCAUCCAUAAACCUCCAACCAGUUUUGCCAUGAGAGUCCACCAUGCCUACCUAUGGAUUGAAUAAGAUCCUUCAAGUAAGUUGUCAUCGGUGCAAGCAAUAAAAAUUGCUCUCUAAUAUGUAUGAUCUAUUAGUGUGUGGAAAAUAAGCUUUGUACGGACCUGUGAUGAGGAAGACAUAAAAGCAAUAGACUGCAUAAUAAAGUUCUUUAUCACAGGAGGCAAUAUAAAGUGACGUUCCUCCGCACUAAGAGGACACGCAUUCAAACCUCAAAAGCGCAUGACAACCUCUGCUUCCCUCUGCGAAGGGCCUAUCUUGUACCUUUACUUUUUGCCCUUGUAAGAGUCAUGGUGAUCAUCACCAAUUCCCUAUUUUUGCCUUUGUCUUGGCUACCGUCACAUGUUUGGGAAAGAUCUAUACUCAUAUAUCAACUUGGAGUUGAGUACUUAUGCUUUAUUGUUGUUGACUUUACCCUUGAGGUAAACCGUUGGGAGGCAAAACUAUAAGCCCCUAUCUUCCUCUGUGUCCAGCUGAAACUUUGACACCAUGAGUACCACGUGAGUUGUAACAAUUGUGGAAAACAAAAGAGAUGAUUGAGUAUGUGGGUUUGCCUUACAAGCUCUUAUUUGAUUCUUUCUGAUGUUGCGAUAAAUUGCAAUUGCUUCAAUGACUAUGGACUAUUGUUGGUGACUUCUCGGUAAGGUUUUUGCUUCAUGCUUUGCUUUGUGAAGGAAUUGUUACUUUCACAUAAGAAUCUUUAUGAUGUAUCGCUGUGUGAUCAUGAUGCCCUCAUGUCCGUAUUAUGUUUUAUCGACACCUUCGACCCUCAACAUGUCGACAUGUUUAGGGAACUUGGUUUUCGCUUGAGGACAAGUGAUGUCUAAGCUUGGGGGAGUUGAUACGUCCAUUUUGCAUCAUGCUUUCAUGUUGAUAUUUAUUGCUUUUUGGGCUGUUAUAUUACUUGUGGUACCAUAUUUAUGCCUUUUCUCUCUUAUUUUGCAAGGUUUAUUUGAAGAGGGAGAAUUCAGGCAGCUGGAAUUCUGGACUGGAAAAGGAGCAAAUCCUAGUCCACUAUUCUGCACAUCUCCAAAUGCCCUGAAAAGUUACGUGGAUUUUUUUGGGAUUAUAUAAAAAAUACUGGGCGAAAGAACUACGGGAGGGGGGCUGCCAGGGCGCCACAAGCCCUGACACCGCCACCCCCUGGUGGCGGAGUGGGGGCUUGUGGGCUCCCUGACGGCCCACUAGCCCCCCUCUUUUGCUAUAUGAAGCGUCCUGGUCCAUAAAAAAUCAAUCGGGAGCUUUUUCGUGGUUUCGCCGCCGCCACGAGGCGGAACUUGAGCAGAUCCAAUCUAGAGCUCCGGCAGGACGAUCCUGCUGGGGAAACUUCCCUCCCGGAGGGGGAAAUCAUCACCAUCGUCAUCACCAACACUCCUCUCGUCGGAGGGGAGGCAUCUUCAUCAACAUCUUCAUCAGCACCAUCUCCUCUCCAAUCCCUAGUUCAUCUCUUGUAACCAAUCUUCGUCUCGCUACUCCGAUUGGUACUUGUAAGGUUGCUAGUAGUGUUGAUUACUCUUUGUAGUUGAUGCUAGUUGGAUUACUUGGUGGAAGAGUUUACGUUCGGAUCCUUGAUGCUAUUCAUUACACCUUUGAUGAUGAUUAUGAUUAUGUUUUGUGAGUAGUUACUUUUGUUCCUGAGGACAUGGGAUAAGUCAUGUUAAUAAUAGUCAUGUGAAUUUGAUAUUCGUUCGGUAUUUUGAUAUGCUGUAUGUUGUCUUUUCCUCUAGUGGUGUUAUGUGAACGUCGACUACAUAACACUUCACCAUAUUUGGGCCUAGAGGAAAGCAUUAGGAAGUAGUAAGUAGAUGAUGGGUUGCUGGAGUGACAGAAGCCUAAACCCCAGUCUAUGCGUUGCUUCGUGAGGGGCUGAUUUGGAUCCACUAGUUUAAUGCUAUGGUUAGACUUUGUCUUAAUUCUUCUUUUGUAGUUGCAGAUGCUUGCGAGAGAGGUUAAUCAUAAGUGGGAUGCUUGUACAAGUAAGGGCAGUACCCAAGCGCCGGUCCACCCACAUAUCAAACUAUCAAAGUAACGAACGCGAAUCAUAUGAACAUGAUGAAACUAGCAUGACAGAAAUUCCCGUGUGUCCUCGGGAGCGUUUUUCCUCCUAUAAGACUUUGUUCAGGCUUGUCCCUUGCUACAAAAGGGAUUGGGCCACUUGCUGCACCGUUGCUACUACUUCUUACUUGAUACUUUUUGCUCGCUACGUUUCACCUCACUACACCAUCAGUUGUUACCUCUACUUUCAGUGCUUGCAGUUAUUACCUUGACGAAAUCCGCUUAUCAGAGCCUUUUACUCCUCGUUGGGUUCGACACUCUUACUUAUCGAAAGGACUAUGAUUGAUCCCCUAUAUUUGUGGGUCAUCAAGUAUCUAGGUGACAUUAGGGUCUUGGUUGAUAUGUAUCUUAAGGUGUUAUUCUAGUACGAACUCUUGAAUAGAUCGAUCAGAAAGAAUAACUUUGUGGUGGUUUCGUACCCGACAAUAAUCUCUUCGUUUGUUCUCUGCUAUUAGUGACUUUGGAGUGACUCUUUGUUGCAUGUUGAGGGCUAGUUAUAUGAUCCAAUUAUGUUAUCAUUGUUGAGAGAACUUCACUAGUGAAAGUAUGAACCCUAGGCCUUGUUUCCACGCAUUGCAAUACCAUUCGUGCUCACUUUUUUUACUAGUUACCUUGCUGUUUUUGUAAUUUCAGAUUACAAAAACCUAUAUCUACCAUCCAUAUUGCACUUGUUUCACCAUCUCUUCGCCGAACUAGUGCACCUAUAAAACUUACCAUUGUAUUGGGUGUGUUGGGGACACAAGAGAGUCUUUGUUGUUUGGUUGCAGGGUUGCUUGAGAGAGACCAUAUUCAUCCUACGGCUCCCGCGGAUUGAUAAACCUUAGGUCACCCACUUGAGGGAAAAUUGCUACUGUUCUACAAACCUCUACACUUGGAGGCCCAACAACGUCUACAAGGAGAAGGUUGCGUAGUAGACAUCAAGCAUUUUUCUGGCGCCGUUGUCGGGGAGGCUAGGUAAGAGGCACUAACAUCCCGUCAACGAAGCAUUUUCGGGGAGGUUAGCGCUUGAAGGUAUAUCUUUAGAUCUUGCAAUCGAAUCUUUUUGUUUCUUGUUCUUUAGCUAGAAAACUACCAAAAAAUGGAAUUGAGGAUGCCUCAUAUGCUCCAUCUUUUUAAUGUCUUUCGUGAGCAUGAUGGGAAGGAAAAUUGUGCUCAAGUGCUGAAAUAAGAAUUACAUAGAAUGCUUGGCAUAGAAUAUGUGAAUGAUGAGCAUGAUUGCAAUGUUGUUAGCACAAAUUCUUUGAAUACCCAUGAUGCUAAUGAUAUGCAAAGCCACAAGCUUGGGGAUGCUAUAUUUGAGGAAGAUGAUCUUUUUAGUUCUUCCACUUUGAAUGAUCAAAAUCAUUUUGAUGAAAGCAUGCCCCCUAUCUAUGAUGAUUAUUGUGAGGAUACUUAUGCUUUGAAGAAGAGGGAUGAUAAAUAUUGUCAUACUUUCGAAAACCCCUUUGCUAAACCUUGCUUUUUCGUUGUGGACACAAUUUGUAGUGCUCAAGUCUUUUACGAUACUCCCACUACUAUUCUUGAGAAUAGAUUUCNNNNNNNNNNNNNNNNNNNNNNNNNNNNNNNNNNNNNNNNNNNNNNNNNNNNNNNNNNNNNNNNNNNNNNNNNNNNNNNNNNNNNNNNNNNNNNNNNNNNGCUAUCUUGCUUAAGGGUUAGGGAUGUGACAACUUUGGAGUUGGAGGGCUUCUUCAUCAUCAUCAUCGUCCCUCCAAUGACUCGUGAGUAGUUCACUUCAGACCUACGGGUCCGUAGUUAGUAGCUAGAUGUCUUCUUCUCUCUCUUGGAUCUUCAAUAGAAAGUUCUCCAUGAUCUUCAUGGAGAUCUAUCCGAUGUAAUCUUCUUUGGCUGUGUGUUUGUCGAGAUCCGAUGAAUUGUGGAUUUGUGAUCAGAUUAUCUAUGAUAUAUAUUUGAGUCUUUGCUGAUUUCUUAUAUGCAUGAUUUGAUAUCCUUGUAAGUCUCUCUGAGUCUUGGGUUUUGUUUGGCCAACUAGAUCUAUGAUUCUUGCAAUGGGAGAAGUGCUUGGUUUUGGGUUCUACCAUGUGGUGACCUUUCCCAGUGACAGUAGGGGCAGCAAGGCACACAUCAAGUAGUUGCCAUCAAAGGUAAAAAGAUGGCGGAUUUAUCAUUGGUUUGAGAUUAUCCCUCUACAUCAUGUCAUCUUGCUUAAGGCGUUACUCUGUUCUUAUGGACUUAAUACACUAGAUGCAUGAUGGAUAGCGGUCGACGUGUGGAGUAAUAGUAGUAGAUGCAGAAAGUAUCGGUCUACUUGUUUCGGACGUGAUGCCAAUAGAAACAAUCAUUGCAUAGAUAUCGUCACGACUUUGCGCGGUUCUAUCAAUUGCUCGACAGUAAUUUGUUCACCCACCGUCUACUUGCUUUCAUGAGANNNNNNNNNNNNNNNNNNNNNNNNNNNNNNNNNNNNNNNNNNNNNNNNNNNNNNNNNNNNNNNNNNNNNNNNNNNNNNNNNNNNNNNNNNNNNNNNNNNNGACUAGGUAUUCGAACCCCAUACAUAUCAAGUAUGACACACGUACGCAUGGCAUACCGAUAUGUAUAGAUUCAUCGAUGGCAUCACAACAUAACCAUAAACAUACAACCUUUAUUCAAGAGGCUCGGAAGAGCCACACACAUAAUAUUACACAUUAAGGUCUCUCGACCCAUAAUAGCAGUCAUACAAAUACAAGCCAGCGGAAGAGUUAUAGACUGUCUGGGUACAGACAAUGCAACUAGAAGGCACAUGGCCUGACUAUACUACAGAGCCGACAUAGGGCCAGAUCGUAGCUGGGACACCAGCUACUCGUCGUCGUCGAUGUCUACGAAGAACCCUCCAUUAGGGUCAUUAGCAACCUCUGCAACAUUUAUUAAGCAAACAUGAGUACGAAGGUACUCAGCAAGACUUUAGGAGAACUAACUACUCAUGCAAGGUAUCAAAAGGUAUUGUGGGGUUUCAUGCGGGAAGCCAGCAUUUGACUCGUGGCUAGACAACUUGCAUUUUGAAAUUAGUUUUGACAACUUGAUUUCUCGCACACGAGUCCACUAACACCACAGCAAUACACUAUCGUGGAAUCAUUCCGUCUCCAUACGGAAAUGCCGUCCACGACACUCACGCUUAUCUUGCCCAUUUUAUGAGUAGCCAUUGAAGUUAUCUAUGAACAACAUAUGUCUCCAAGUAGUCCAUAUCCGCGGACGCGGCUAUUCGAAUAGAUCAUAACCCUGCAGGGGUGUACUUCGUCACACACGCUCUCGCCACUUAUCGCUAUGUGCACGUCAUGCACCUCGGCAACCUUCAAGCGGAAGCCCAGCGAGGGAGUCGGCCACGACCGUUAACCACACCAGUACCUAGUCCAGGUUUAUCGCCUAUCUGAGAGUAACCCGUACGAAAGUCCGGCCGGGGAUUCCGCCACGGCCUCAAACGAUGUGCGCAGGGUUCCCAAGCCCACCAUCCAGGUGCCACUUGGUACACCGUGCCACUGCCUACCGCAUCACGGCCCACCUCUCAGGUCAGCACCAUGCACGGCCUCCAGCAUUACUAUAAACACCAGAAACUACUUGCAACUCCUGGACCGAGUACUACGCGAUUAAUAGGCCGAGCGGGGUCAUAUUUCAGGGCCCAGCAUGUGGUAGUAUCUAGUCUUGGAUUACAUACACGGAACUCAGUUCCUAAGGACGGUUCCAAUGAAACAACCCGCCAUGUACUCCUACACAGCCUUUCACCGGCACCUUUACCAAAUCAAGUUCAACACACAACCUUUGCUCACCGAAAACAUUCCACAUUUCUGUUCAUCUCCCAGAUGACAGACCAUACACAACUCUAAGCAUAUCAUGCAUAGCAGGAUAAGGCACAUCAUAGCUCAAGCAACUACCAGGUAUGCUAGGUUGCAAGGUUCGGCUAUUUACUGUGACAAGGUUAGGUCAUGCAAAGGAAGUGGGUUCAACUAUCGUGGCAAAAGCAGUUGUAGCAUUUGAUCCUAAUGCAAUAAAUAAAUGCAGGAGCAAGAACAUGGGAAUUAUCGGGAUGAUCAAAAGGGUUGCUUGCCUUGUUGCUCAGAGGAGGAACGAUAUCCGUCAGACGGAUAUUCGGUGGAAUCCGGGGGUGCGGAGCCUACCGAAAUGAAUGGCAACAUUCAAUAACAAUCAUAUGCACUCAAAAUGAUGCAUGCGCAUGGCAUGAGAAUGCAGGGUGAUAAGUUAUUAGUUUCAACAUGUAAUAGGUUUAGAGUUGAUUUGAAUCACAUUCGAAUAGCAAUUCAAACGGGGUAUUCUCGGAUACCGGUUUAAUUGAUUCGACCUGAUGCUCAGAUCAACUUGAUGUUAACAUGCAUGAAAUGUCAUGUUAUGGUACUGAUUUGUAAUUAGGGCAGUGUGUGAUCAUUGCAUAUAUAAUGAAAUUUGAAUNNNNNNNNNNNNNNNNNNNNNNNNNNNNNNNNNNNNNNNNNNNNNNNNNNNNNNNNNNNNNNNNNNNNNNNNNNNNNNNNNNNNNNNNNNNNNNNNNNNNUGAGUACCUUCGUACUCAUGUUUGCUUAAUAAAUGUUGCAGAGGUUGCUAAUGACCCUAAUGGAGGGUUCUUCGUAGACAUCGACGACGACGAGUAGCUGGUGUCCCAGCUACGAUCUGGCCCUAAGUCGGCUCUGUAGUAUAGUCACGCCAUGUGCCUUCUAGUUGCAAUGUCUGUACCCAGACAGUCUAUAACUCUUCCGCUGGCUUGUAUUUGUAUGACUGCUAUUAUGGGUCGAGAGACCUUAAUGUGUAAUAUUAUGUGUGUGGCUCUUCCGAGCCUCUUGAAUAAAGGUUGUAUGUUUAUGGUUAUGUUGUGAUGCCAUCGAUGAAUCUAUACAUAUCGGUAUGCCAUGCGUACGUGUGUCAUACUUGAUAUGUAUGGGGUUCGAAUACCUAGUCGUGAACUUUAGUAGCACUCCUUACAAGGAAAUGCCCCUUUGUGAUCCAACGAGCCUUGGUAGUCCGCUACUGCUCCGGACACAUUGGUUGACCGGCAUGUGUCCUUCUUAGCUGUUGUGUCCGUCCUCUUUGGGGAAAUGUCACGCGACGUAAUGGAGUCCUUGUAGCUUGCUACGACUCGUCUACGUUCGCUGAUGACCGACACCUGCUUUGUUGGGUCAUGUAUGCCCGUCCUUGUGCGGAACUGCCACUUUGAUUUAUGACUAGACAUGUCGAUGCGGGUUCUUUGACAUUGGAUUGCUAGCGACACCUAUCGCAUACGUGAGUCAAAAGACGCAAACGGUCCCGGCUAAGGUAAAGCUGCAGCCGUGGAGUUAACCGUGCGUGAGACCACAAAGAGAUGCGAUGUGUUACAGGCUGGAUUCCUAUGGCUUAGGAUCGGGGUCCCGACAGCGUUGGUAUCAGAGCCUGACUGACUGUAGGAUUACUAAGCCAAACUGGUCAAAGUUGAGUCUAGAAUUGCUUUAGUUAUAUAUAAGGGAAUUGUUUGUGGAAGGGAACGUAAGACUCUUGUUCUCUUCUCAAGUUAUUCUAUUCUGGUCAUCCUCGUCUCUUCUGCGGGAAUUAAGGACUAGGUUACUCAUCUUCUCCUAGGCUCGUGUUUCCAAUCGGUAGCUUAUAGGACUACGGGUCGAGAGAUAUUGGGUUUCUUUUAUUCCUAGGAAGCAGGAAGUAAGUUUGGUGACCAGAGAGUUGAACUUGAUAGUUGAGUGGUUACGCUAUUCCAUUUUGGGUUGUCUCAAAUUUGUUUUGAGCAUUUACAGCCGUUAUGCUGCCCAAUUUUGCAUUCAGAGCUCUAAUGCUUUUGCAUUACUCUCUAUUUACAGAUGUCUGGCCGUCCUUCCCGUCAGGUGGUACGUCUGACCAGGUGCAUUGAUGUACCGGGUCAUACGGCCAUGCUGGUCAGGGUGAUGUCGGUGUGCGGUUACCGCUGGUACCCCGAGUACACAGUGGAGGAACAGUACCGGGACUUCAACCAGAGCCAGUACAUCUGCACUGUUAGGGUAUUCCUAGACUACCCUGGAGCGGAGAAGCCAAUCCAUUGGUCCUAUGGGUUGGGGGUCACCGUUGACAUGGGAGUACAAGAUGCUGCCUAUUCAAUGCUGACUAUUAUGAGAGCGAGACAUGCACUGCUGCAGAAUUCAGAGUUCUGCUAUGUUCCGGCCUCUCAGUCUGGUGAAGAGGGAUACCUCAGUGGACUCUAUUUUGAUUCUUCUAUGGAGGAUCCACUUCUGCAGACCACUGUUGAGAUGCUAGAGAACAGAGACAACGAUGCUCGUGCUCUCCGCAUGGAGCUUUAUGCUACUCGUGCCCGUCUGUGGACAGCUUUGACGCAGCUAGCACCGGUAGUCCAGACAGGGUAUGGAGAGAUGGAGAUGCUGAACCCUGUUAGGACCCAUCUUCCGGCUCACGUUGACUGGCCAGCUAUAGGAGGAGUCACACCUCUUCGGAGACCCCUCUUACCACCAGUCAGGGGACCAAGGCCACAUCCGUGUCCUUAUGGAUCCCAGGGGUCUCAGGCUAGAGUGUUUCCUGAUCCGCAGGUUGAGCUUCCAGGUCAUGGAGGUAAUCUCUAUGAGAUGUUCUAUGCGGAUGCCUGAGCUGUGAGCGGAAGGAUAGUAUGGUAGUAGUCGUACGUUCAAAGUCCUGCGUGACUUGUGAAGUAUGGUAGUAAUGUGAAAUGAAUUCCAGAGGCCUAGAUAAAUAAUGUAUAGGAAGCUUGUAAGCCUCUGAUGAGUAGUUCCACCAUUUCAGUAGUUUGCUCUUCGGGUAAGUUUGUACUGAACUAUGUAAGGGUGUGUAUGAACCAUGGUGUAUAUAUAGCAGUUGCUUGUUACCAUGUUGUUCGGAUAUUCAUUUCCGCAUUCCGUGUGUUCAGUACAUUCUUAAUCCAUAGCUAGUAUUGAUAUGAUAUUGGUCUAAGCUAUGAGUUUGUUUGUCAGGAUGGUGUUCACCAGGUUGAACCGUGCCCCUGCUCAUGAGCAAGGUGAGGGUAGUCAAGCGUCGCAGGAAGACCUGCCUCACCCACCUUCUCUGGUAGAAGUGAUGCUUGAGGCAGAAAGAAACAAAAGGGAGACCAACCGACUGCUAGAGCGUAUUGAGCAGAAUACGGNNNNNNNNNNNNNNNNNNNNNNNNNNNNNNNNNNNNNNNNNNNNNNNNNNNNNNNNNNNNNNNNNNNNNNNNNNNNNNNNNNNNNNNNNNNNNNNNNNNNUGCCCCAACGGCUCCCCCACGCGGCGCGCCCCGUGGGCAUCGUCGUACUGCUCCAGCUGUGGAGCCGCCCGCACCGGCCUCCCCCGCAACGGGGGAAUCGCCGAUCCCGGAGGCUUCUCCGCUAGUUGCCCCGGGCGUCUCGGCCCCGUCUCCUGCACCACCGGGCCCCGCUCCUGUCGGCACGACGCCUCCACCACCUGCUGCCCCCGUGCCCAGUACGGGGCCGGCCUCUCCCUCAACUGCCCCACCUGCUGCCCCCGUACACUUCGGAGUGCUUACCCGUGCGCGCGCGGGUGUCCAUCGACCCAGCCAGAGGUACUCCUCCAACGAGUACGUCUGCACUGCCACCACGACGGCUCCUUCGCCGCUCCCUGCGUCCGUCCACUCGGCGCUCCGGGACCCUCACUGGCGCGCCGUCAUGCAAGACGAGUACGACGCGCUACUGAGGAAUCGCACCUGGCAGCUGGGUCGUUCGCGGCUUCCGGCAACGGGCUGGUCUCGACUUGUGACAGCCCAAGUGCAAUCUCCCCUCCCCUUUUGUAUCCUCCUUGUAUGGCAACCUUGGCAUGUUGGUGUGAUGUGGGGUGAGCCUAACUUUGUGUCAUCAUUUCAUGUGCAUCAUGCCUUCUUGCAUUGCAUUCUUUCCCUUUUGUUGUGGUUGUGUUGAUGUGGGUGUCCUUGUUGUGAUGUGCAAGUGUUGUGUUGAUGUCCUUAGUGAUUGUUUAGGUGUGGGGGCAACAAGUGCAUGUCAAAACCCACAUGUUGCUCCAUAAGGAGAAAACCCUUCUCUCUCUAUGUUAAUUUGUGGCAGGUUUAAAAGGCUUUGUUUCUCCAUUUAAAAAAAUGUUCAUCUUUCCCUAAAAAAAAUCCUUUUCAUUUUGUGGAGGCAACCCCUCUGGUUUCUACUUUACUUUCCUUCUUAUCUUAUUUAAAAAAUCAAAGCCCAUUUAAAUUAGAUGAAUAUAAUUUUGGACUUCUAAAAAUGUUCCACUUAUUUUUAUAAACAGUGGCAACANNNNNNNNNNNNNNNNNNNNNNNNNNNNNNNNNNNNNNNNNNNNNNNNNNNNNNNNNNNNNNNNNNNNNNNNNNNNNNNNNNNNNNNNNNNNNNNNNNNNGGGGUUGUCAAUCCCUUAUAGAUUGUUUGCCAAGUGAGAACUGAAAGCAACAAAGUAACAAAUCAAAGUAAAAGCGGAGGUGUAAACGAUGGAUGUGAAUAGACCCGGGGGCCGUAGUGUUUACUAGUGGCUUCUCUCAUGAAAGCAAGUAGACGGUGGGUGAACAAAUUACUGUCGAGCAAUUGAUAGAACCGCGCAAAGUCGUGACGAUAUCUAUGCAAUGAUUGUUUCUAUUGGCAUCACGUCCGAAACAAGUAGACCGAUACUUUCUGCAUCUACUACUAUUACUCCACACGUCGACCGCUAUCCAACAUGCAUCUAGUGUAUUAAGUCCAUAAGAACAGAGUAACGCCUUAAGCAAGAUGACAUGAUGUAGAGGGAUAAUCUCAAACCAAUGAUAAAUCCGCCAUCUUUUUACCUUUGAUGGCAACUACUUGAUGUGUGCCUUGCUGCCCCUACUGUCACUGGGAAAGGUCACCACAUGGUAGAACCCAAAACCANNNNNNNNNNNNNNNNNNNNNNNNNNNNNNNNNNNNNNNNNNNNNNNNNNNNNNNNNNNNNNNNNNNNNNNNNNNNNNNNNNNNNNNNNNNNNNNNNNNNUCACGAGUCAUUGGAGGGACGAUGAUGAUGAUGAAGAAGCCCUCCAACUCCAAAGUUGUCACAUCCCUAACCCUUAAGCAAGAUAGCAUUGUGCUCAUGUCUUCUUUGCAUUUGCAUCUAAGAAGUUUCAACAAAAACAACAAAGUGGCAAAGGAAAAACUCAAAACCCUAGCCACCAUUUCAAAUUAAAGGAAAUCUCAAACUAGUUCAAAAUCAAUGAACCCAAAAUGGCCUCAAGAAAUGUUCAAACUUUCUGAUAAAUCAUGAAAGUAAAUGAGCAUUGGAGAAAACUAUUUUCUUGACACUUUAAGCUUUUUAAAUUAAUGCAAAAGCCACUGGUUUCAAAUUUAAAAUUUGAAAUCAGAAACUAUAAUUUUCCAAAAAUGUUGAAAACCUUGGAAAUGGUUGGGGAUAUUAUAACAAAUAUUUCAGGAGGUCUAAAAUAGUUUUUACUUUUUGUUUUGGAGCUGAAUUAAUUAGCAAAACAAUAAUUAGCAAAACAGAAAAACAAAAACAGAAAAAUAAGGAAAAACCUUACCUGUCGCCUAAGCCUGGCCCGGCCCAUCCCUGGCUCGUCCCCUCCCUCGCACCAGUAGGCAGCAGGAGGUGGUCGCCGCCCCCUCCGGCGCGGCCACGCACCUGCGUGCCUGCCUGGCCGCCGCCUCGCGCUGGCGACGACGGGGAUAAGCUCCCCAGAGCCUCCCCUAUCCAUUCCCCGCCUCGGUUCUCUUCCUCCACCCGGAUCUCUUCCUCCUCCCCGCUGCCGCCAUUGGAGCCGAGCUCGAGCUCGAGCUGCCCGUGCCCCUAGCCUUAGGAUCCCCUCCCAGAGCAUGCCAUUAGCGCCGCCUCGUCGCCCUGGUCAUCUCUACAGAAGCCGAAGCUUCCUCGAGCCCUGCAACGCCCGCAACGCCGUCGUCUUCCACCUCCGGCCGCCGGACCUCUCCCGUCGAUUCGCUUCCUCCGGCGCAUCCCCGAGCCCCUCUUCAGCACCAUCGGAACGGCCGUGAGCUCGUCGUCGUUUCCCCUCUCGCCCCACGCUCUCCCGUGCAUCGUAUCCUAGUUCCCCACCAAGGCCGAGAGCUUCUCGCCGCCGGCCAUGUCGCUGUCGUCGUUGUGAUGACUGAUCCACGCGCCCGAGCUAGGAUUCGAGCUCCUGGAGCCUCCAGGAGCGUGCCGAGCCCUCCAGCUGCCCUCCCCGUGCCCUAGAACCGCCCCUCAUAGAAGGCCGAGCUUCGGCCGCCGCUCCGGCUCAUCGCCGACGCCUCUUCCGGCGACCCUAGCCUCCCCAGAUGGUCCUGCCAGAUCGGCCACUUCGCGAGCAUGCUGUAGCUGCAAACCGCGUGCGUUUUGGUGUUGUGCAGCGCCGUCUAGGUCGCCUCCGGCGAGCCCUCCGCCGCGGGCCUGGUCGCCGGCGACCACCCUCCGGUGGGGGUCGACGUGGCAAGCUAACCCAGCAGCUUAGGGACCUAAUCACUCGCUGACAAGUGGGCCCAAGGCCAAGUCAAACCUCAGUUAGGGCUGGUCAGCGUGGGAUUAGUCCCAGAGAGGCUGUCCAGUGGGGCCCCCCUGUCAGGUUUGACCUGAACAAGUCGGCUGACCUGCUGAUGUGAGCCUGAGGCAAUAAAUAGAAUUUCCAGUAUAAAACUAAUUCAGGAAAUUGCUAAAAUNNNNNNNNNNCGGGAUUAGUCCCAGAGAGGCUGUCCAGUGGGGCCCCCUGUCAGGUUUGACCUGAACAGGUCGGCUGACCUGUUGAUGUCAGCCUGAGGUAAUAAAUAGAAUUUCCAGUAUAAAACUAAUUCAGGAAAUUGCUAAAAUUUGUAAAAAUCAUAGAAAUUAAUCUGUAACUCCAAUGAAAAUAAUUUAUAUAUCAAAAAGUAUCAGAAAAAUUCAAGGAUUCUGAUUAUGCUAUUUUCAACCAUGUUUAAAAAAGUUACAGAACCCUAAAUUGUGGAAUAAGGAAUAAUUCAAUUCUUUUAAUCACUUUAUAAAUGGAAUUUGCAAAAAAAUUCAAAUUUCAUUAUAUAUGCAAUGAUCACACACUGCCCUAAUUACAAAUCAGUACCAUAACAUGACAUUUCAUGCAUGUUAACAUCAAGUUGAUCUGAGCAUCAGGUCGAAUCAAUUAAACCGGUAUCCGAGAAUACCCCGUUUGAAUUGCUAUUCGAAUGUGAUUCAAAUCAACUCUAAACCUAUUACAUGUUGAAACUAAUAACUUAUCACCCUGCAUUCUCAUGCCAUGCGCAUGCAUCAUUUUGAGUGCAUAUGAUUGUUAUUGAAUGUUGCCAUUCAUUUCGGUAGGCUCCGCACCCCCGGAUUCCACCGAAUAUCCGUCUGACGGAUAUCGUUCCUCCUCUGAGCAACAAGGCAAGCAACCCUUUUGAUCAUCCCGAUAAUUCCCAUGUUCUUGCUCCUGCAUUUAUUUAUUGCAUUAGGAUCAAAUGCUACAACUGCUUUUGCCACGAUAGUUGAACCCACUUCCUUUGCAUGACNNNNNNNNNNNNNNNNNNNNNNNNNNNNNNNNNNNNNNNNNNNNNNNNNNNNNNNNNNNNNNNNNNNNNNNNNNNNNNNNNNNNNNNNNNNNNNNNNNNNAGACACAACAGCUAAGAAGGACACAUGCCAGUCAACCAAUGUGUCCGGAGCAGUAGCGGACUACCAAGGCUCGUUGGAUCACAAAGGGGCAUUUCCUUGUAAGGAGUGCUACUAAAGUUCACGACUAGGUAUUCGAACCCCAUACAUAUCAAGUAUGACACACGUACGCAUGGCAUACCGAUAUGUAUAGAUACAUCGAUGGCAUCACAACAUAACCAUAAACAUACAACCUUUAUUCAAGAGGCUCGGAAGAGCCACACACAUAAUAUUACACAUUAAGGUCUCUCGACCCAUAAUAGCAGUCAUACAAAUACAAGCCAGCGGAAGAGUUAUAGACUGUCUGGGUACAGACAGUGCAACUAGAAGGCACAUGGCGUGACUAUACUACAGAGCCGACGUAGGGCCAGAUCGUAGCUGGGACACCAGCUACUCGUCGUCGUCGAUGUCUACGAAGAACCCUCCAUUAGGGUCAUUAGCAACCUCUGCAACAUUUAUUAAGCAAACAUGAGUACGAAGGUACUCAUCAAGACUUUAGGAGAACUAACUACUCAUGCAAGGUAUCAAAAGGUAUUGUGGGGUUUCAUGCGGGAAGCCAGCAUUUGACUCGUGGCUNNNNNNNNNNNNNNNNNNNNNNNNNNNNNNNNNNNNNNNNNNNNNNNNNNNNNNNNNNNNNNNNNNNNNNNNNNNNNNNNNNNNNNNNNNNNNNNNNNNNAAGACAUAGAAACGUAUCAAUACCAUCAAAACAUAUCAAUAUAGACAUGAAAUCUAGUUUCAAAGACCUCGUCACAGCAAAUUUAAUGAUGGAAAUAGAUUUUUAAUUUGGCUUUUCGUUUAAGGGAUAAGACAUUUUGAAUUUUGAGAAAAUGAUGUUUACAUCAUCUACAUUUGUUUUCACUUGCAUGUAUGCAUGGAUGCCAUUCCGCACUUUCCCUCGUCAGGGACUGUUCGCCCAUUAUUACAGUCGAAAACUAAAACAAUGAUAUGUACUCCCUCUGUUCCUAAAUAUAAGUUUUUUAAGAGAUUUCAAANNNNNNNNNNNNNNNNNNNNNNNNNNNNNNNNNNNNNNNNNNNNNNNNNNNNNNNNNNNNNNNNNNNAAUGAUAUGUAAUUACAUACUCUUAAAAAUAAUAAUUAAAUAAAAAGACAAUCCUUGGAAAUUACCAGUCUAGUCUUAUUCUAAGACCUGACGAAACAUUAUUGAGUACCCGUCAUAUACAAGAGGAUUCGCUAGCAAAGGACUAUCAGAAAGGUUCAGGCAAUCUGCUGCCCAGGUCAUACACGAUUAUUCAUCAGGUUGGACACAAGCUAAGCUGCUUUCCUUCUGGAGAGUAAUUUGAAAAACUGUUCAAAGGCAGGGUAGAAUGAUCAUCCUUCGUGAUACACUAAACUGGAAACAAAAAACUCAGCUCGAUGCAUUUACAUGGACAGAAAUCGAAGUAUGUAACGGGUGAAGCUACCAUCAUGCCUCCAGGUCGUUCAGGUUUCUCGGAACUUUGACAAAAAGUUUUGAAACGAAGAGAAACCUUCCAUCGCAUCGUGCGGCAUGUUAAGCGUGAAAGGGGGAAGAACACUCGGACCAGCCUUCAGGUUCUUCGGGCCAGCGGCUGACGGUAGCGCAAGUGCAGGCUGCUGUCUGUUGAGCUUUUCUAUGAUGUACGAGAAAGUUCCAAAAGCCAGGCAGCUCUGAAUCAGAGUUUGCGGUGCACCU